AAGAAGCGCAAGAAGAAGACCUACACCAAGCCCAAGAAGCAAAAGCACAAGCACAAGAAGGUGAAGCUCGCCGUCCUCCAGUUCUACAAGGUCGACGACGCCACCGGCAAGGUCACCAGGCUCAGGAAGGAGUGCCCGAACGCCGACUGCGGCGCCGGCACCUUCAUGGCCAACCACUUCGACCGCCACUACUGCGGCAAGUGCGGCCUCACCUACGUCUACAACCAGAAGGCUUAGAGGUGGCUUGCGUUUGCUCUGCUCUUUUACCUACCUACCUAUCGAGAGUCGAACUCAUUUAGAUGUGUCCCGUUUGUCGUUUAAACUGAAUCCUUGAGUAUCAUGUUUCCUGAAUAUUUCAUCGCCUACUGCUGUUAUGCGAUGCGUGCUUAAAUUUUGGUGUCCGUAUGCUAUCAGUCUAAAUGCUUUUAAUCCAUUCCAUGUCGGCUAUCUUAUUCUAUGCUUUGUUGAUCUUAAUAAGGUGGUGCGAUCACGAGACAUGUUGAUGCAUGGGUUCUUCAGCUUAUAACCCAUUAUUGCAGGUGUUUCUAGAUUAGCCAAUAGCUAUGCAGGUCUUACAUGUGGAUGAAUAUUUUGCUAUUGCUGUUUUGUUAUGUGUUGAUUCUUUGAGGUGUGUGAUCUUUAUCACUUGCAAUUAGAAUUCAGUUCAUUCCAAGCGGUUGUGUGGUUGGUUUGUUCUACGUAUCUGUUUUAGUUCAUACCUAGAUGUGCCUGAAACUGUGAAUAUAUGUAGUCAGUUACCUUUGGCUAUAGACAGUGGCAGUGCGAUGAUUGCUAGUGUGGAGCAUAGUUCUGCCUUGUGGUUUAGCCAUCAGUUUUGUGUGUGUUAACCAUUCACCAUUGCCUACCUUCGGUGGUAAUAUUGGUUGGGUCUAUUGUGCCAUAUGUCUAUCGGUUUACAGUUGUAGAUGUAGGUGAGUUUUGCUGUCCUCUUGAGAUGUGAUGAGGCAUCAGUCUCUCACAUAAGCUGUAGAUCUGUACUCCCUCUCUGUAAAGAAAUGUAAGAGCGUUUAGUGAUGUAAAUAGAUGCUCUUAUAUUUGUUUACGGAGGUACCAGUAGUUUACAAUUGCCGACGUAAUCAGUGAACUGGUUCAGUAUCUCGGUAUGUUUAGCCAAUUCCAUUUCAGAAUUGGCCCAACGCUGCAUAAGCAACAGUGGCAUUGCUGUUUAUGCCCUGCCAAUGGCCCUGUAGCUGGGAUUUAGUACUGAUGUUGUUUGCGGAUGAAACAUGUGACUGAAAUUUUCACGUCUCUGUCUCCGUGCAAGCCUAGGGGGCUUGUUUGUAUACAAGCCUGUAGCAUGAAGUUGUAGCUAAGAGUGCUUCUGGAUUGUGGUCGUGCAAUUUCAUGAACUGUGAUCAGCGGCAGCGUUGCUAAACCAGCGAGAACCCAGUUCGGAUGUGUUUGGUUGGGAAAAGGCGCAGCGGCAGCGUCUCUCUUAUCGAGGUCCUGGACGCCUUGCCGCAGUGCUGCCUGUUCAUGCCCUUGUGCUGUGCCGUUGUUGAGUUUUCCUCUCACGGCCAUACCGAGGGCGACAUGUGGCACCCAAAAUCCAUUCGCUGGCACAGAGAUGAAAUAAGGUUAAGAGAAGCUCGUAGUGGGGUGUUGAGGAGCUUGUAGCUCCCAGAAAUCAAAGAAGCGAGAGUUGACUAUAAAUACAUAUGCACGCCAACCAAUUCACUGCACCUAAUCUCACUAUGCCUCCCUCAUCGAGCUCACCAUUCCCCUUUUCUCUCGUUACGCAUUCGACCUGGGGAUGCGUCGCUACUACGCCCAUGACCUACCAUGUACUAACUCGCCAUUGGCUGUCUCGCAAAGCUUGUCGUCCUGAGCACCAGAGCCGCCAAGCACGCAAAACUUGUCCCGCCUCCCCUUGCUCGAUCGUUGUCUCGUCGACGCCUUGGUGCAUCGCUUUAUGCCUGGAAUGAGACCGUGACAUUGAACUAAGGCAUUUGGGGUGCAAUCGCCACCAUCCCUAACUCGGUCAGAUCUAAGCCGAAUGAGCUGCCAGCCCGUGCUAGUGCUCUGGUUUUUUAACGGGAUGUUGGGCAGAGGAGUUGAGGAUCCGAGGGAUCCAGAGGGUUACCGAACAUGCACUUAUUUUUUUAGGGGAACUUGCAACUUUAUUUAAAUUAAGCAAAGGUUGGGACCUCGUCCGCUACAAUAUAAAUAAUGCAGUCUGGAGGAAAAUCAAAAUAAAUCGUAAUCAUUGCACGCCCUCUCUCUAGCUAAACCAUGCGCCGCACCAUUUGCAGAGUGCCGAACCCAUGAGAUUUUGAACUCCUGCGAGUUCUCAAAAGCUCCUUAAUCUCCUCCACAACCGGGCCAAACGUCGAAAGGUUCUUGCCUUCUCCUUGAAGCAUCGCCACCACCUCCUGACUAUCCAGCUCGACAUGGAGUCGUUGCACGUCCAUAGUAAUCGCCAUUUGCACGGCGCUUUUCGCUGCAAGAAUCUCCGAGAGCUGGGGGUGGCCGGCACCUGGGAAGCAGAUCGCAGCUCCUCCCCUAAAAGCACCAUGGUGAUCCCUGAGAACCACUCCUCCCCCCUUGUCGUCCGUUCGGGCCGUCGCUCCAUCCGCAUUUGCCUUGGUCCAUCCCGGCUCCGGUGGAAGCCACCUUUCCGGUCGCCUUGGCUCCUUGAUCGACCCCUCCUUGGAGUGAACUAGACGCCAUUCCUGGAUAUAACAGUGAACUUUCUCUGCCAACUCUCGAGCAUCUUGGAUCCUUCUCCCGUCCCUAGCAUCAUUUCUUGCGCACCAAAUACCAUACAGAGCCUGGACCAUCAUUUCGCGUUUAGCCCCGCUCGCUUCCGCAAACCAGGCCUUGAGCCACGCCACCAGGCCAGUCAGAGAACCGUCCAUCGCCGGCGGCCUGACAACAGGCUCCCCCUUGUUCUCGCACAAAUAUUUCUAGAAGAGCUCGGAGUGGGGGCACGCCCAAAAGCGAUGGUAUAAGGUUUCUUCCCUGCCACAAGCGCAACAGAACACACCCGGUUUGAUUCGUCUACGGUGCAGUUCGGUUCCGACAGCUAGGCCAUUCUUCAGCAACCUCCAAGUAUGAAUCUUGGCCUUCCCCGGCGCAUUAGUGUCCCAUAAAGCGAGCCAAGCCUUGUGCUCCUUGCUGGGCAUCGACGAUCCCGACUGUCCGGUUUUCACGUCCCGUAAGCUCAUGCCGAAGUGGUAGGCGGACUUGACAGUGAACUCGCUCCUUCUUGGUGAAGUUCCAUGCAAUAUAAUCUUGCAUGUUCGCCCCCCCCCACCACCACCACAAUAUGCUUGAUAUCCUCAACGUCUCCCGGUGAAAACAUCAUCUCCAGCUUCUCCAUAUCCCAUGCACUUAUUAUUUCGUAGUCAUUUUUCAUUGCGAAGCGAUAUGAGAUGGCAACAUCUUAUGUUACUCAAUUUGUCUCUCUCUUUAACUACUUACCACAUCAUCUUUUUGCCUAUAUAAAUACCUACAAUCAUUUAAUAAAAGAUUAAUUGCUAUUUCAUUUUACAUCUUCGUCGAUCGUCCCUUGUUUACUUUGGGUCAUAAAUGACUAUAAAUCGUCCUUGGUGGCAACGUUCGCCCAUCCUCCCCUUCUCUUGGCGUGCGCCACUUGAAUGCGGCGUCUUCCCAUGAUCUGAUCCAGCAACGCUCGCAUAGUAAGUUUAGCUCAAUGAUAGAAUCACACACUUGAUAAAAAAUGGCAUACCUCCAAACUUACAAGUUUUCUAGGCCGUGUCUUCCCUCUCUCUAUGCAAUCUCUCUUCCACGCUGCUCCACCUUUGGUUCCCCGGUUGCUCUUUGUCCUAGAUGAUGAAGUGUUGUUGAACCGUUGAUAUGAUACAUGUGGAUACGGUAGAGGGGUCGUGCUUUCGACUCUCGAUCGAGGAAAAAUUCUUGUAGCUGGGAGGUAAUACCUAGCUACGGGAAUUUGCACAUCUUCAUCUCUCUUUGUGUUGGUUAGAUCGAUCUUGUCCAUUCAUUUUCAUAAUGUUCUUGGGUGUGUUAGUAUGGUAUUUUUUUUGCUUUGUACCAUGUUCUCCAACAUAGUCUGGUCCCAAAAUUGUAUAUAAUCAGUAUGACCCUCAACAAUUUAGGCCAACCAUAGUAGACUUUUACUUUCCAAAUACAUAUGGCCCCAAAAUGGAUCGAAAUUAAAUGGGCCAAACAACAUGAGAUGACCCAGUAAAUUGUAAUAGGCCUCUGUUGGGCCAACACUUCCUUAAUGGCUAGGAUGACAAGUUGACUAACGACACCAUCACUACGCCAUUAAUAGCGGCUGCCACGUGCCAGUCUUCUGCCAUGUCAACCUCACUCGGGACAAAAACACUUCCAUGUCACGCCAUUUUUUCUCAUGGAAAAGCACACUUCAAUAACAAAAACCGAGUUUUGUCAUUGAAGUGAUCUAUGACCGACAUAGUAUGGCAUCUACACUCUAUCAUAGAUUUGUCAUGAAUGCACAUCGAUGACAAAAACCCGCACCUUCUAUCAUGAAGGUGUAUUGUCAUGGAUGUAUUUUUUUAGUGUAGUGGAUAUAUGGCAUCAAUGCUCUAAAGUCUCAUGUCAGUUUAUGUGAUGUUGUGGGGCCAACGUUGGGGUUGCCGUGUCACUGUAGGGAUGACAUUCCUGGUCAGAUCCGGGCCCUUGAUCAACCCCUAGACUCCUAUGGUCUUACCGCUGAAGAGUGCUUCAGCGGUGUGCCUUGAGGUCUCCCUUAUGGAAAUCUACAAGGGUGAGGAGAUAUUCUAGCAACAACGGAGCCGGCAGAAUUGGCUACUGAAGGGUGAUGCCAACACCACCUACUUUCAUGCCAUUGUGAAUGGGAGAAGGUGAAAGAAAGUGCUCCAUCUCGUUUGGACGGUGCCCUCCUAGAGGAAUCCAAGGACAUUUUCACCCACAUUUACUCCUUCUACAAGGAGCUCUUCUGGGUAGGUCAACGACUACUGGCAUGAGGGGGGCAAGGUCUCAGCCACUGAGAAUGUGGAUCUCACCUUCUCAUUCUUGACCGAGGAGGCCAGUCGAGCUAUCAUGGAGACGAAGGUACCCUUAUCUUUAACCUUGUAGUUGAUGUUGUCCAGUUAUCUUGGAGAAGGCCAAGAUAUAUAGUUACAUCUCUGGUGUGGUUGGGAAAAUUGUCCCAAGCAGGGUAUCACCUCAAGUUCAUGGUAACACCUUGAUCAUGGUAGAAGGAAUGGAACCUGUCAUUGUCUACCUCAAAGUCCCUCGUAUACUUUGAGGCUAUGCGUCGUCUCAGGAUGAACUUCAGAAGAGGGAAGUGGUGGUCACGAGUUACCCUCCCAAGGAUCAACUACAAAUGCAUGACACUUGGAACAAAAGAUAGGCAGAUUGAUUCCAGUGUGAUACAUGCGUGAGUGAUACCUAAAAUUAAAAUGUAAAAUAAAAUUGAAAUAAUACAAACCGUCUAAUUUUCAUGAAGUCAACAUGCGUACACCGGCGUGAAUAUGACAAUGAUGAAUAGAUUAUGCUUCAGUUGGCACUAACUAGCAAUGUUCAUGACUGGUACCUAGAGGCAACAAUGAAACCUAAAAUAUAGGAAAAAGUGUAUGAAAACCCAAACAUACAUGCGACAUGGCAAGAAAGAUUGGCGGCUCAGUUCCAGUGUGGUACAUGCAUAGGUUGUAACAUGACAAGGAAGCAAAACAAUGUUCCACGAUGCAAUAAAAGAAAUAGUUUCAGUUGUGAUAAAGUACUAUGCAAUAAAUCGUUUCUGUUGUGAUAAAAGAUACAAGUCCAACAAAACAAUAUGCGAGUAAUCGGAAAAAAGGAAAUGUUUUCAAAUUUCCUAUUAAUAUACAACAUUUCUUACAGAAACCACUCACCCACCCCCCCUCCACUCUCUCGUCUCGCCGCCGCCAGAGGCUCCGGCCAGCGAAGCUCGGCUGGAUCCGGGGACGGGCACUUCUUCGGCUGGCGCGAGGUGGCAGGGCGAGCUGGCUCUCGUGCGGAUGGGCGGCGGCGGCGGUUGCCGCUGCAGGGCUAGGUAUGGUGUCUCGGCGGUCAGAUCUGGAUGUGGAGGGAGCGGCUAGCUGCUCCGGUGACCUCGGCCUGGUCCGCGAGGUCCAGCUCGCUCGAAUCUGAGGUGGCUCGCUAGCCGGCUCUGGCCCGUAGCUGCGGCUGGGAGGAUGGGGGGCGGGAAGGAGGCGGUCGUUGUGUGGCUCGUGGAGGUGGUUGGGGUGCUGGUCGGCGGGGAUGGGUUUCCUGUUCAGCCAACGUUGGCGUGGAACUCAGAUCUGGCUUUCUUUGAGGGCUGGAGGUGGAAGUGUUCCCGUGGCUGGAGGUGGCGGUGGUAGGGUGUGGCCGGCGGUGAGGGCUUGGGUGCGGGCAGCAGUUCACACCGACCUGACUCCGGCUGUGCAGGUGCUCGAGGUGAGUGUCUAUAUCAUCGGAGCCUUGUGCCCGUCCUAGCGGGGACGCUCGCCAUGGACUGACAGAAGGGUGGGGAGGUCUUGAGCUGCUGGACUCGGCAACCUUCUUCGACGGUGAUGUCUGUGAUGGGAUGCUUCAGGCGAAAGCCUUGUGUCGACCUUGUCGGCAACGAUGAUGGCGCCGCCUUCGGGCGUCGUUUCCCUUCAUUAAGGCAUCAUCGAGAAGCUACUGUUGCCUGCUCAUUCGUGUGUCUCAGGCGAAAGCCUCAGAUCCAUAUCUGGAUCGGACGACGGCGACAUCUUGAUGUCGUUUCUCCCCCUUGGGGGCGUUGUUUUGGGGCCACGAACCGUGUUGGUCGCUUGAUGUCUGGGUUGAAGUGCUUGUUGGGUUGCUGGAGUGCAGGGUGGUGGCGGUGGAAGUGAUCUGUGGCGGCGACAAUUCCUUGGUCAUUCUGGUGCUGAGGGUUGACCUAUCUCCUGGGCCUCGUGGCGACGGUGAGGUCUAGGAGUUUGGUGCCCUUCGACGACGCCUGAGGUUGGGUUGCCUCGCAUAGUGUUCUAGUUCUCUCGGCUCAGAGGAGGUGCAGGGCCGUCUCGGCAGAUCCUUGCCCUUCGGCACGGUCUGCGAUUCUCUCUAUCACGUUGUGGCUAGGCAGUGGGAAUCCCUUCGAUGGCAGCUGCGAUGCUCCUAGUUCUUCAAGGUGCAGAGUGAUCGCAGGGCAGCAGACAGUUCUUCCUCUACGUCUUCUCGGUGUUCAACCUCCUUUCGACUGAUCCAACAAUACUAGUCCCUGCUCUUCUCGGUCUGCCUAGUGGUCAUGGAUGCUAAGCUCUUGGUGUUGGCUGCUUGUCGUAGUUCGUUUCUGGUUCUCUUGUUCCUUCCGCGCGUGUGUGUGUGUGUUGGGUGCUGAUUCUCCUAUGAUGUUCCUUGUUCUUUCUUGUGUGUGUUGGGUGCUACUUGCUGUAGCUGUUGUGUUGUAUCUCCGUCUUUUUAUGAUAAUGAAAAUGGUUCAGGCCGGCGUAAGCCCGCCGUAGCACCGUAAAAAAAACAUUGCCACAAAUGGGCCCACGAAAUAGGCAAACAACAUGCACAAGAUAGAAAAGCAAGCUAAAUGUAUACUCCCUCCGUUUCUAAAUAUAAGUCUUUGUAGAGAUUUCACUAUGGACUAGAUACGGAGCAAAAUGAGUGAAUCUAUACACUAAAGUGCAUCUAUAUUCAUCCAUAUGUGGUUCAUAGUGGAAUUUCUCCAAAGACUUACAUUUAGGAACGGAGGGAGUAGAUGAGAUUGACAAAGAGAGAAUAUUUUGGCAAAAUUGUCGUGAGCAACAAAGCACUCAUGUAGGGAGAAUAGCUAAAAUUAUACUGGUUGUCCUACCCAAGCCAUCCACAUGGACGGUCAACACAAGUCAAAGAGGUUAACAUAAGUCCAAGCAAGCUACCAAGGGUCCAAGCAAGCUAUCUCGCUCAAAUAAGUCAAAACAAGUCUUCAUGGUCAACGAGUCAAAGGAAAUGAGAAAAUAAAAGACCAAGUCGAAGAUGAAGCCAAGGAAGCAAAGAAGCUCAAGCCUAUGAAGAGAAACCUUCAUAAAGUCAAAGGAAUUCUACCUCCCAUGGGUCGCAAUCUUUCUGCAGCCUAAUGGGAGCACGAUUCAUGGACUAAAGAUAGUUUUACCCUCUCACCUCCUCAUCUUAAGGGCAGCCUUGUUCAUUUGUCAAUCACAUCUAGGUUAUAAAUACCCCUAAUGAGCUCGUAACACAUUCACUCCCACUUGAAUAAACUCGAGAGGAGAGUCAUUCCCUCUCCCUCUCCUCAGAACCAAGGUUCGAAAGGGGGUUAGGUUUCGGAGUCCAAGGGAUGUUGUAAGGCUUGGACCCUCAGGAGUCGUGGGGCUGCAGCAACGGCAACGUUCUGAACGAUAGUGUGUCAAGCCCUUUUCCUUGAUGACUGCUCAUAUGACAUAGGUCAUGUUCCCACAAGGCGACUGCAGCUAUUCAAAAAACAUUGUUGUGUUACUUUGUCGAUGUACAAUUACCUUCGUUAUAAGGCCGUACAAUGACCUUCAUUAUAAGACCGUCAUACACUGCUACUUACAUUUCACAAACCCGCUACAAAGGAUACCCCUAGUCAAAAGCUGUUUUCAUAACAACAUGAUGUAAGUAACACGAGCAAAGCCAUACCAUAUGUACAAAGUUAGAAAUAUAUUGCGAAGUGCCACAGCCAGCUUCUGGCACAAUGUAGAGGACAACCUUUACUUUGUCAGACUUGCUCUAUAGCUCCACAUACAAUCGGAAAGUAUGUACAAUUCAAUGCUGUUAAUCACAUCUCAAUGUAGUGUGCACCAACAUCAAAACUACAAGUUGGCAAUCCAUUUUAGUUUAGCGCAGUUCCUUAAAAGAAAGCCCAUAUAUUUCAGCUCACAAGCAGUUUGUCUCCCAGCUCUUUGCGGUAGAAGUGAAUGAGGCCAGCGCUGUCGAUUGUCUGCAACUUAUCCUUCAGUAUCUUCGUGUAGUGGUCAUCCCUGUCCUCCAAGCUUCUCAUCAAUUCAACCUGAUAAGCCAGAAAUACUUCGAAUAUAUCAGAAGCUGUGUGCCCAGAAGAGCGACUUUGAGAAUACAACUGUGUUAGGAUAACUUGUCACGGAUGUAUAACUUGCACCCACCUGUCUCUGGAACGACUCGAAUUCAUCGAAGCUCAGGGAACCAUCGCUGUUUGCAUCAAGGAGAUGCAUGAGCGCCAUCGCAUCCUCGCCCUCGGCACCAAGAUCUUCCAUCACCUCCGUGAGCUCCUCGAUGCUGAUCCUCCCAUCACCAUUUUUGUCUAUAAGGCAGAAAGCCUGGUUCUUGCAUUCACCUCCUCGAUGAUCACUGGCUGGGAGGUCUCGAAGGCGAUGAGCUGCCAGUUCUGCCGCAGCCAACAUAAUAGCCUUGAGUCUUUUAGCCUGGAGAAUAUUCAAGGAAUGCUGAUUCUUAGUCAUGCCCCAAAAAUAAUCUUUCAGUUCAGUCUCAGAAAAGGUAUAAGAAUGCUAAUUUCAAGAUAAAACGAUAUGUCAUGAUGAAAUCAGCAGACAAGUGUAUCAGUUAGGAACAUAAACCAAACCAGGUCACUACCAUCUCAGCUGUGAGCUCUGAACUAACUGUUAUAACCCAGUGAUAAUUUCAGUAAGAAGCCUCAUAUGCUGGAUGAAAUUUAGGUGUAUCUUGUAGCAAGCAGCAUUUUACAUAACUUAUGUCUGUACAUGUUUUGACCCUUGGUUCGAUAAAACAACUUACCUACUAUGUUUUGAAAGAUACCCGAGUGCAUUGAUAAAUCCAGACGAUUCAGUGUACUUCAAAGGAGGAAAGAGAGUUGGAAUUAAGUAGAUGGCUCACCUCUCCAGGAUCCGUAAGACCACCCUUGUAGAGAGAGUGAGACGCUUCUCCACCAAUAGCAAUUCUGUGCAUCUCCUUGGUGCGUAUUUGUAUCUCCAUUAGUGGCCUCGUCUUCCCAGGUUCACUUACAUCGAUUGCCACAUGCAGGCUCUGAUAGCCAUUUCUUUUUGGCUGUGUCACAUAGUCCUUUGUCCUACCUGGCACUUCCUUCAAUAGAGCUCGAAUGAUUUCGUGUGUCCUGUGACAGGCCCUGGGGCCCCAAUCAGAUGAGCCACCAUCGCAUCGAGGGUCCAAGAUUAUCCGUAAACCAAGUAUGUCAUUUACUUCUUCUGGUUUCCGGCCAUCUUUUACUAGCUUCUUCAUAGUACUGAAACGGCUUUUGUACCGCCCUUCAAUUGAGAUGUCCUGCACAAUCUCGUUUAGCUCAUCAUCGGACUUCAGUGCCUGAAGCAACUGCGCCUUGUAGGCAUUUAUCAAGAGCUUGCACUCGGCUUCUCGGUUCCUCAACCAUUGAUCGACAUGGUCAUAUGAAUGAGGAAACAAGUACCUAAAAGAAAGAUCUUCCAACUCUAGCGACAGAUUACCAGCCCCGACAGCAUGAGCAAGUGGAGCAUAUAUCUUCAUUACUUCAAGAGAUUUUACUCGCUGAAGAUGCUUGGGGAGGUACUGAAGGUGUCUCAUCGUAUCAAGCUUCAGAGAAAGCUCCAAGAUUACUGCCCGGAUGUCAUAGUACGAAAGGAAAAACUUUCUCAAUGAGCUCGCACUUUCAUCAUCCAAUACGUCGACUUUCGAAGGAGCAACCUUAAGCCUUAAGCUCUCGUGCAGUAAAUCAGCUAUGCCAGUCCCAAUUUGAGCUUCUACAUCGCUCAUGCUUAUAGUCCCUGCAUCAAGCGCUUUCCUCAAUAUGCCGGCUGAAAUAACUUCCGCGUCCAUCUGCCGUCAUGAAUACAACAAGAAUUCAAAAUCCCUGUUAAACAUGAGAGCUUAAGAGUGGAUAAAUAAGCCCAAUGAUGCUUAACUGCGUUAUCAUACAAAGCAGUGCAAAUAUCUUAUGAAUCACCAUAACCUUACAGGGAAAUGGAGCAAAUAGAAAUUGGUCAAAGAGCCUAAUCGUAAACAUGGGUUAACUUGUGGUGGUUUUUGACAAUUUACUCGUCCAAGAAAGGCUCUGCCCAUCAAUACUGUCAGAUGAUAUUGCCUUCAACUUAUGGUAUAAAUGGGAAUUCAAUGGAAAGUAUGAACCAAACAGUAACGAUCAGUGACAUGAAACUAAAUAAUCAUAUAAGCCUGAGUUUAAUAGUUUGUGUAACUUUAGUGUGACUGAAACAAGGAAUGCCGGUGCCAUGGCAAGAAAACAGAUUUUGCUUUCUAAGUUCUAAUUGUUGUACACAAUAUUAUUCAGUGACUUCUUUCGAUGCAUUCAACAACAGAACACCAAAUGUGUACUGGGAAAUAUAUUUCAGAAAGAGUUCACUUAAUCUGGGUGUCCCUACUCCCUAGCAUUAAAAUGGAUAUCAUUGAAACGGGAAUGAACUUAUGCAUUUAACAGAAUUCGGCAUAUUGAGCUAGCUAUCGUUACUGAAUUAAUGGAAUUCUUGUUUCAAUCCUUCUCAAAUAAAUAAAUAAUUUUGUUUCAAUCUGUAAACCCGAACAUAAAUAAUAAAUAACAUGAACUUGAUCCAGGAACCCACAGUUAACAGGCCAACAAUUAGUAAAUUCUACUUGUUCAAUCAUGCGGACACGAAAGCUCACCCCCAGUCUCCAAAAUCGAACGAUAUAAUCCUAUUUACGCAAACGGAACAGGGGAGGAGGCUCUGGCUCAGCACCUGGAGGUCGGCUAAGGUCGCGGCCACCGCGAGGGCUCGCGUGAGGGCCUGGCCGCCGUCGCCGUCGCGGAGGGCGGGGAGGGCCAGUUUGAGCGCGCGGAAGAGCAGGCGCGACGAGGAGGUGGUGGCCAGGCCCUCUCCCAUCCUACCCGUGAGCUCGUUGAACACGCCCACAAGCUCCGCCACCAGCCUCCCUCCUCCCUCCGGCGGCGGCGUCGCCGGGGCCGAUAGCGACGAGGAGGAGGAGGUGGACGGGGCGGAUGGGGAAGAAAAAGCAACUGAGGCAGGGAGACGCAGUCGGUGCAGGCGACGCGGGUUGGGGCAUGGGCGCAGGCCUAGGUGGUGGCGGUGCUGGUGGCGGCCGGCGGGAACGGCCGCGGCGGUGGUGGCUGCCGUCGCCAUGGGUGGGGCCCGCUCCGGGGAUGGAUUGCAGGCGACGUGGCACUGUGGCAGCCGCUGUGCGGAUAUGUGAUGUGGUGAUUGUGAUGAAGUGGCGACUGGCUCGCGCCUUGCCACGUAGGAUUUGCCAUCUCCGCGCGGGAAGAGACGGGGUUUCGAUAGGAAAACUGAAUUUCUCCGGAAGUCCUUCGUUCAAUACGCAUAAACAUGGGCAAAUGUGCCAGUUUUUUAGCGUUUGUGAGCGAACGUCUACAUUUGUCAUGCGAAAUUAGAUAAAAUUAUAAUGUUGUUGUGUAAGAUUUGCCAUGUCUAAAAUGAAAAUGGCCAUGUAGUGCUGCAUGUCCUCUCGCUAGUUGAGUUAAAAAUUGUGGAACACCUCACGAAUCGAGGGAAAGCAUGUAUGGGAGGCCAGCAAUGUUCAUCCUAUCAUUAAUCUUGCGACACGAUUCAAUCGUCUUCCAGCAUCCAACCUAAAACCGUCGGCGACACCAUAGUGACGGGAUGAAGCUCGCGCUCUUCACACCGUAACCGUAUCUGGUAUGUGCAACAACGUUACUUGCCUCUUCUUUUCAGACAGUUCCUUAUAUAUGUUGCGAACCAUCAUCCUUCUUUCUACCAUUUGUCUCGCCUUUGAUUUCUUGUCAUUCGACAACCAGCUCUCGGACAAUAGCGAGACAAUCCUCUCACUUGCGUUCGUGAUGGACAUGUGUGUGCCGAGAUGAGUUGCUUCUGCUUUGCGGGCAACCCCAAUGACAACACCGGUUAUUUGGUCUUUCUUUUUCAGGCCAAAUAUGUGAUUGAUUGCCCGGUUAUUUGGGUUGCUGUCUGCUGCCCGUUUUUUCUCUAGAUAUAUUGUUCUUGGAGAUUAAAAUUGUGGCAAAAUCUGUAGGUUUGAGGAGAGAGGAAUCCUUGGAGCUCCAUGAGAACACUUUGAGUCAACAAGAGUUGCCGCAUGCUCAUUGCACGACUUCUUGGCAUGUAUGGCGGGAACCACCCCGUGAUUAAGGGCAUCUCCAAUGCCAUGCCGCAAAACGUCCGCAAACGUCUGGAUUGACGCGUGUGGACCAUUUUUGCCAUCCAACAUGGUCCCACAUACAUCAGUGGACCCGUCCGCAUGCCCGAAUUCUUGUAAGACGGAAUCAAAGUUGGGGGAGGUUUGCGGGAGUUCAGACCUCCACCAAGUAGGACUCUGACAAUCCCGACCCACCUAAAAUCCCACCCGUAGCCCGCGCAUUUGGCCACAUUCACACUACUUCCGUGCCAAACCCUGCGCAUUCCCAUCCUAUCUAGCCGAUUGACGCCUCCCUCCACCCUAUUCCUGCCCUUUUGUAGGAUCAGAAAUCGACUAGAAGGGUCGGAGAGGGGUGAAUAGAGAUUUACAAAUUCUUCAUUAAGAAGGAUUUCUUUCCAACAAGCAAAUGAUAAACUAUUCUAAGACGGGAACUUAAUGGAGAUAAGAUUGAGAAAAUAAAUGACUUAGAGGGAAAGCUAAAACAGGCUACUAAGAGAUAUCUAUCACAACAGAAGUUAGAAGAAUAACUAAGUAGCACUAGGGGAAAAACAUGCGGUACAUGCAUACUAAGUAUCGUGAGAGAGAAUACUAACAGAAACAUUGUGAACUAACAUAGAGGGAAAUGCUAUUUAGUUUCAAAGAAAUGAUCAAAGUGAGCAAUCAUAGAGAGGAAUAACUCAACAGAUAGAAAUACUGAAAGUAAAUCAAGUAGAGAGAAAAUCAGUGGUACUCGAUGGCGACAAGUGAUUUGUUCUACCAGUUCACACUUCUGCCAAAGUGGCACGUCUGGUUGGAGGGACUUGUGAUUGAACACAUGAGAAAAUCUCUUUCAGCCUAUUCUCCUCAACAUGAAGAACCUCGAACUUUAGUUGAUUUAUUACUCUCGACACAUUCUUCAAGGUAAACUCCAAACCUUCACAGACUUUAUCCUUGGCAAACCACAAUUACUCUUGGUUGCUCGGACCGACGCCUAAUCGUCUAGUGAGUGUGCAACUCACAACAAUAAUAGGAACAAGCUUCGUAUAGACCUAAUUCUCCGCGAUGCUCAAUCAUGUAACUAAAUUUGGGCCCUGGGGUUUUCUCUUGGUGAAAUCUGACUAUAGAGGGGUUUCUCAGACAAACUCUUGUCAGAUCAGAUGAAGCAGCCAAACGCUGAAGGUUGGGGGUGGGAUGACUAUUUAUAGCCAGAGUAAUUCCAAGGUACGAAAUUACCAAUUGGGGCCCGUGUCAUGCAACGGUCAUCUAACAUGUGUCCAACAGUCGGAUUUCAAAUUCACGCGAUAACUUUACUUAAGGAAUAAGUUAAGCUGACUCUACUGCAUGUGAUUUUCACUCAACGUCCAGAAGAACUUCGUCUAUGACUUAGAGGGAAAACACAACGCCAUGUAGGAUUUUGACGACUUUGCCAUGUAGGAUUAGUCGAGACCCCAGAUAUUAUUCGCUAUUCUUGUCAUGAAAACAAAAUUAACUUCGAUCAAUGGAGAACAUAUGUAGAGUGCCAAAGUAUUUGGUACAAAUAAUUCUUGAUCACAUUUGUUCUGAUGUUUUGGCCACUUUUGCCUCCUCUUCUCCUUCACAUCCUCAUUCAUAUGCAACUUUCCAACCCGUCUUCGGUGACUAUCAUCGCGAAAUUCACGUUCAACCUCUAGUCCACAUCGAACACUUUAUAUCGGUGUUGUCACACCCGACAUCUCCCAUGGCUACCAUUGCCAUAUAUGAAAGCAUUAACCUCUCUCACGGGUAUCACCUAGACAUUAGUCAUUGGGCCUCAUCAUCACUACCUUUGAUGCCAACAAUGAUCUGUCUGCUUCAACCUAAUUGUUUCCUUGUUGCCUCAUGGCGGUCUUGUUUCUAAAACCAAGGUUAAAACAGAACCUCCGACCUAAACAUGAGCCAUGAAACCCUUUCCUCUUUGAUGAGGAGGCAUUGACCCCACCUCUUAGUCUGACCACAUGAUCAAAACAUGUCUUGGUUAAUGAGUAUUAAGAGAAACGACAAGACACCGGCGUUGUCAAAAUCAUUCUACCAUAGGAUUGUGUGACUUUGCAAUCCAAACUGAUUAGAAUAUGGAGCGCGCUAUGCGUCUGCCGGGUGAUGAUUGGAUUGUAUCGUCUGCUACUAUAGUCGUUGGAUGGCAUGCACGACAACUGCCUGAUCUGAUGCAAUAGCGCCUCAACCGUUUGCAACAUGGCUUAUAUUGCGCUCCGGGCCAUGUUGCGCUCCAUCCAAAUGUUUUCUACCAUUGCAAUUAUCUGACCCAGUUUGCAACAUGAGCCAUGUUGCGCUCCCAGGUUGUAACAUGACCCAUGUUGUGCUUGGGGAAAACAUUUGUGGUUGACCACCAUCCUGUUUUCCGCCCCCUUCGCAACCUAAGCGAUGUUAUGCUCGCCGGUUGUAGCAUGACCCAUGUUGUGUAGCCCCUUUGCAAUUCAGAUGAUAUUGCGAAUCCCCUUUGCAACAUGCCCUGUUUGCAAAAUGAGUUAUCUGACCCCGUUUGCAACAUGAGUGAUAUUAUCUUCGCCGGUUGCAACAUAACCUAUGUUCUGAAGCCCCUUUGCAACAUGGACAACAUUCUGAAGCUUGGGAAAAGGAGGGAGAAGGAGGGACAGUUUGGGCAGCAAGCUUGGGAACAUAAAGGGCACUAGUAGUCGAUGGUGCAUUGCCGAGGCGAUGGCUUGCAGCAGCGGACGGUGAUCUGCAUCCCUGUCCUUGCAGCCCUUGCAGCGCCAACCUAGUAGAACCGCUGUGAAUCUUGGCCCUCGUAGCCCCCUGGCAGUCGCCUUGUGCACCAGCAUCAUUCACCCCCGCACCUCCCCAUCUCGUGCCUCCCGACGCCUUUGCAGCACCGGACCCAAUCCUUGCAGCAGUGGGGUGGUUGGGGGCUACCUAUGCCCCUAUGGAGGAAAGGGAUACAAGUAGAAUGAUCUUUCUAAUUAACCAGACUUACAAAGAUAUAAAUUACCAGAAAACUUACAAGGGUUCCUUUCUUCCGGUUGUGUCAAGGAACACCAUUUGCUCCAUUUCCCCAAAAAGAAUGCCGUUUGCUCCACGAUACUAUUUAUAUACAGGUCAACCUAUCGAGUAAGACUUAGCCAAAUCUCAGUCGGUGAUGUCAGCAUAGUUGUGGUGCAACUCGCGACAUGCUGCAAACGACAACGCCAAACGCUGCGAGACAUAUGAUGCAAGCAACGACGACGGACGCUGCAACCGGUGGGACUUCAUGCCGGGACGACAUGAUGCAACUAGCACCGACGGACUCUGUGACUGAUGGGACGACGUGCUAAGCGGUGACGUGCUGCGAUAGCUGUUGGACGGUGCUCAGUUUAGCACUAAUCUCCGCACUAAGAUCCAACAGCGAAGCAGUCGACCGAGACUUAGUCGAUUGAGGAGCAAGUUGCCAUGUUCUUGAUCACAACCUUCGAAAUAGGCUAGUCGGUUAUACAUGGUGCUGACUAAAUAGAUUUAUCGCUCAGCAUACAUUGCUGACUAAGUAGAUUAUCGCUCAACCAUGUAUACACACUACUACUGAAGAACUUCUUCAGAUAAGUAUAAUCUGUUGAUACUUAUUCCGUCUUGCCACGCCCAACACAUUAGUCUGUCAUAUUCAUGAUGCCACUAUAUCAACAAGACAUGACCAGGAAGCUGAGAAAAAUAGCUAUUUCUGAAUCUUUACUUGAGAUCCGCACAUUAAGUACGUUCGACACGACCAAACAAGCAAAUAAACAUAAAAGACGCAGAGACAGAAUCGCAGUGCAAAGCCAACUACAGGCACAUUCGUAAACGCACAUACGAGCAUAAGCAUUUGGCAAAUGUCAAUAUAGGGCGGACGUGCAAUCUAGCUACUCCAUCUUGGAGGCACCAAUAACGGCGACCUUCGCUUCAAUGCAGCAUUUCGUUUUCACGAGAUAACCAUUUGAACAGUCCUUGAAAUCUUCCAGCAAUAUGAACUUGUCCCAUCCCCAACUAGUAGCAUUCUUUGAGAACUCGCACCGGCCUAUCAUUUUCCAAAACAAAAUACGUAGAUAAAUAAAGGUGUCAAUCAGUAAAUGUGAUGAUGAUAAUUUCGCAUCUGAACUCCGGUCCAGAGUGCAAAAAUUUCUGCUAAAGAGCGAACCUUUUUGUCCAUUGUCCUUGCCACUUCCCUGGCUUUUGAUGCGUAUGUCCAAUUCUACCAGGUUCGCGGAGUUCUCAUGGAGUAUAUCCGUCACCUUCAUGGUCAGGAACACGGAGAUAAAGUUUCCAUUCUUAUCGAAUCCAGAUGGAUGGAUGGAGAUGAACCUGAAAAUUAGGGAGCAUCGCAUAGUUUAGUACAUCAUUGAUAAGAAGAGGUGGAACUCCAAGGGUCUUUAUUUUUACUUAUAAAAAGUGAAAUAUGACAAGUCUUUAUGUUCAAAUAUGAAUUUAGUAAAUUCUGUAUAAAUCCAGUAAUUAAGUGGUAACACUAUGAGUCAUGCUAAGCACUGCAAAUUGAAGAUGGUAAGUAAGUAUCACCAUUUGUGUCCAUGGAGCUCAAAAUCUGGAGAGUGGCUCGGGCUUUUCAGCGCAAAGAAGUCGUCGAUGUCCCAGGUGUAGACUUCUGGAAUACUGGAGAUUUUGUUUACCUUCUUCUGAACAAACAGCUUCUCUGUCGCAUCAUUAGUUUGAGCAGCAGUAACUUUGAUAAACUCGACACCGAAAGCACAGCUGUUUUCGACGAGGAAUCCAGAGGACUUUUCCUUCAGUGUGGCGAGGGGGAUCAUGCAUGAUGUCCCAGAGCUUGUGCUUGUAGUCUGAAAAUUGUGGCACACUGCAAACAAAAUAUUCAGUUGUAAUGUCUGUCGCGAAGCAGGUUAUAAGUUACACCAUCAAUCUAGUAUCCGGCUAGCUAGGAAGGUCAAAGAACCUGUUUUUUUUCAGAAAUAAUGGGUACCUUGAGGUUGUUCAUGGUGCUUUCCAUAUAACUGGUCAUAUAUAAAGAACUUGUAAGUUGCCUCCACGACCGUGUCGGAUCUCACGGAUGCUGGCGACAGCUGAAGCCGAAGAGAAACAUAUUCAUUUUGGUCGCCACUCUUGGUGUCCCUUGGGUUCAGUCUCAAGUACCUGCGAAUCAAGUCAAGUGAAAGGUCACCUUAGAAAAGAAAAAUAGUCGAGAUAAAUGAAUAGAAGAAACAAGUGAGAACGAAUUUUGUUCAUGACAUGCUAUGGGGAACAAUAGUAGCAUGUUAAUUGUACCAUCUGAGCCCACUGAUUUCAAACACCCUGGAGAUUGUCCAUCCUUUAUCUAAGUCAAGGAGCGAGGAGAAACCAUCGAUUGUCCACUUGAAGGUUGUCUGCUCCACAGGAGAAGGUGGUGCCUCGACGGCUUUCUGGACCUGUUCCUUCUUUGAAUGGCCUGCGACAGCAGCAAAUUCUUACACAACCAGUACAAUAUCAAAAGAUUGUUAUUUUGGCCAAACAUGAGGUGAAAGGAAAGGCAGAGCAUCUGCUUUUGCAUGGCAUAAUACAUUUAUGUAAGACAAUUCAAUUUUUAUCUGAAUUUUGCUAAUAAAAGGAACAUUCUGAAUCUUGUUUAUAAAAUCAACGAUCUAGACUAAUUCAAGUAAGAAGAAGAAAAGAUGCCCAAAAGAAAGAGUUUACAGCCACUAGAAACAGCAAUGCUUGCAUCAGUAUAGUAGCAUCAAUCAAAAUAACACAAUACAUUAUGCAUAGCAGGCAGGUCUAAUUAUUAAGGAGAAGCAAAGAGAAGCUGAAAACAAAUCCUUACUGCUGGCGCCAGUAACACACGAGUUCCCCAUAGCUCUUGCACUUGCUCUCCCCAGGAUUCCUGUGCAAUCGAAAUCAAUCACCAAAUCACCAUGCCAUAAAUCAACAACAUAUAAUUGAGACUUAAGAGCAUACAGAGCAGUGCACACUAAUUUGAAGGAAAAUAAACUUGAAAAUAUUCAUGUUUAUUUUGGCUGUGUGCAUCAUGAUGAUGGGUUCUCCCCUUUUUGAAAAAAAACAUGAUCAUAUUCCUAGUGGGUGCAGAUCUCAACCAAACAAUUACCGAGGAAAAAAGGAAACGACCAAGAGAUGCAAAAACUGAAACGAAAAACAGCAGCACUUCGACCACGAUAGGUGAAAACCUACAUCAAGAGACCCAAUAACUUGCGUCAGGAAACCAGAACGAUGGCAGUUGUGAACCGUUGUGCAGUGCAGAUCUCGACAAAAUAAUUACCGCGAAAUAAUGAAUGAAGAUCAAAGACCUCAAAAAACAAAGAAGACUGAAAACCACAAACCAUCCACAAGUCGUGAAAGAUGGCAAAGUACACAGCUAAUCACAGUAGCGCAUUUAUAUGUCGCAGAGACGAGAUGGCGGCGGCCGGCGGAGCAUACCUUGGAGACGUAGUGCGUUCCUUGCCCACGUUGGUGUGGUACUGUGGCGCCUUAAACCCUACUACUAAGCAGAGGGUUUUAUGGAGGCGCAGGGGUGAUGCGAUAUGGCAAGCUCGACUCUACCGGGUUCGGUUGGUUGCGCAAGGCUGAUCCAGUCCCUUUUUUUUUUACCAAAACAGAAAAAGGAAAAAGGCCCCAAAAGUGGAGACGUAAGGCCAUACAGGAAGGCAUAUCCUAUUUGGCGCCUCACGAGCCCGCUCCUACUGUUUUUGCAAACGCGCGCUCACUCGCGCACGUCUAGUUGGGCUCGACACAUAUUUCCUUUUCUUUUCUGUUGUUAUUAAAACCAAAAAACUGCAUUAAGAGUAUCUCCAACGCGCCGACCCAAACGGACACCUAUGUCCGCUUUCGUGUUUGAAUCGACGCAUGCGCCCAACGCUUGCCGACCCAUUUUAUAGGUCGCGCGAAAAAAAUAGAACACACAUAUUUAGAAAAUAAAAAAACAUUAAUUAAACAUUAAUGCCGGCCACAAAGGCCGGCUAGAGUCCACGCGUCCAUAUUUACAUUAACUAAAUUUACGAAGCGGCGCGCUGCCAUAGGCAUCCUCGUCGUCGUCGUCGGGGCCGGUAAGGCCGAUCAACAUCGGCGCCGGGCGAGCCCAAGGGAACGCCAUCUCCCAGGCUGUGGUGACGUCCUCCGCCGCCGGCUGGGGUGCCCCGCCCCGGGCACGGCGCUCCUCUUCCUCGGCCUCGCGGCGCUCCUCCUCGGCGCCGCGCUCCAGCUGCUCGAGGUACUCAUCCUUGCGGCGCUCCUCGGGCAGCCGGCGCUGGUGCCAUUGCUCGAGGUAGGCGCGCUCCUGCGUCUCCCUCGCCCUCAUCCAGUCCAGUGGUGCGUUGACCCACUCGCGCACCAUCCCGACCCAGGAGUAGCGCUCGAUGGGGGUCGGCUCCGGCUCGGCCUUCACCGGGGACGGCGAGGCCAGCGGCGGCACGCUAUAGUCACCGGCCGCGGACAACGCCAUGACCUCCGCCAUGCGCGCGUGGUAAUCCGCCUCCUCCCUGCGCCGCUCCUCCUCCUCGCUCUUCCGGAGGACAGACACCGAGAAGGCGCGCGAGACGCCCGCUUCGCGUUCGUGCCGAUGCAUUUCUGUCGCAAAUGGGUCCGUGUGGACGCGUUUUGCGAAUGAGUCAGCGCGUUGGGCCUUCACUUUUGUCCGCACCGAUCCAAACGGACUACGGCGGACAAAAUGGGUACGUGCGAUUGGAGUUGCUCUUACCAGCCCCACCAUCCUCACCAUAUGUGCUCACUUAUAUAUUCUUCAUUCUUUUCUUCUUACAUGUUUUCUUUUUUCUAUUUAUUUUUUAUUUUUUCUUAUUUUAUUCGGAAUGGGUGUGUUCAGUUUUUAUCCCUUUUCCUUUUUUUUGGUAAAUUGAAUGAUUUUUUUAAAAAUAUAUUUUUUUCAAAAUCUAUGAAACUUUUUUUUCAAAUUGAUAAACUUUUUUCAAAAUCGAUGAAUUUUUUUUAAAUUAAAGAAUUUUUUUCAAAUUUGAUGAACUUUUUUCAACUUUGAUGAACUUCUUAAAAUUCAAUUUUUUUUCAAAUUCGAUGAACUUUUUAUCAAAAUUCAUGAACUUUCCUAAAAUCCGAUGAACUUUUUUUUUUCCAAAUUCUUGAUUUUUUCUCAUAUUGACGAACUUUUUUCACUUUGUACGAACCUUUUCAAAUUUAUAAACUUUCUGGAAGUUCACUUUUAUUUUAUUAUGAAAUCUUUUUUAUUUUCUAAUUUAUAUCAUAAAAUAAUACGCGUAACAAGCUGGCUAUGUAUUACUCCUACAUGCUUAUGUUGUGUUAAAAGAAUGGUCUAAUAGAGUAUUUUCCAUAUAGUGGACAACAAAGGGCCUUCGGCCUAGUGGUUAUUGCCUAAAAGGUUUUAAGUUAGAAUUAUGUUUGUUUUUUAAAACGCUUCAGAAACACUAGCCUCUUCGCGGUCCCUGAGGGCCCGCUCGCGGCACAUAAGUGUGUCCGCCAGCCGGUCUAUGGCUUGAUGGGCGCCACAGAUGAAAUCUUCGCUGGUCAAUAUUGGGGAGCCGUCGUCGGCAUUCCCGGGCCAGUCCCCGCAUAGUCUCCGUCGAGGAGUCUCGCCUUGGAGGGGGAGCCCCUAUUCCCGAGGGAAGAAAGAGGGCGCUCCACGUGCGCAGCUUCCUCCACGUCGUGCACAACCUCUCCUCGGAGGUGACCACAUCAGGCUAUGUUCGGUUACGCCCUUCCCCGCGUGGUUUUGGGCCCAAACCACGGGGAUCCAGGCGGAUCGGCCCCACUAGGAAAUAAUCUUCGCGUUUUCGAUUUGACGCAUUCGGUUAAGCCUCGAGCGGAUCUUUCCCCCGUCAAAACCUCUCAAAACCGCGAGGAAAAAAUCAGCUCCAGCCCACCCGUGGAAAAAAUCCGCCUCUCUCUCUCGUAGUACGUAGGUCUCUCGUUGACGCGACCGAAGCGGGGGCGUGGGCUUAACCGAAUGGAAGAAAGAAGCCCCGAUCAUCUUUGUGGCGGGGAGUCAACCCCCACAGUGGUCAGGUGCUGACACCCAAUACCGGCAGGGAUUAGUUCCACUAGGGGAACUAAUCUAUUGUAACCGAACAAGGCCUCAAGGGACCCCGGCGAGGGGGUAUCAUUCGGAGGCUGGCCUCCCGUGGGGUCGUCCUACAUGUCUGAAGCACCAGCAGGGGCGUUCGAUCUGGCUCGUACCAAGAUGGUGUCUUCGGGCGAAGGCGUGCCGGGUACAUCCGCUCCAUGUGCUGAAACGGCCUCCGCGGCGAUCAAGGGAAUCGAGGCAGCGUCCGGCAGGACCUCCUGGUCGACGCCAGAACGAGGAGGAACAGGAGCAAGGACUGCUCGGUCUACGCCCGUUUCUCCAAUAAUGACGCUACGAGGUGGGAUGCUGGCGGCCGCGUGACUUUCCCCCGCGUCUGGCCGGGGGAUAACGGCCUCGCGGGUGGAUCGCUUCGCCUGGCAUGGUCUCAUGGCAGGAGACCUAAAACGUGAAACCAUAAGUCUAAAAAAUCACGGGAAUUAUCCCCCGUAUAAUAAGAAGAGGUAGGAGAGCGUUGCAAGCACUUACUCAUCAGAGGCAUGCCACGUUUUCCUUAACCUCCCUCCCAUGAAGAUAAUCAUCGAAGGACUAACUGCCCGGCGUCCCGUUCCCCUAUUCGGGGGAUGGGAAGGGGAUGAUCCGCCCACAAUGAGUCUUGGUCCGCGGGACCUCCCGUCCCCCUCAAGAAGCCCUGGAGGUGUCACUGUCUUCGGAUCGUCGUCCGGUUCACUAAAAAUGGGGAAAGAAGUGACGAUCAGGAAAUGGACGUACAGACCAAAGGAAGUAAAAGACAAGCAAAACUGACCCGUCAAGACCGAUAAUAUGAGUUUGACGAUGCCGUCUCUUGGGACCCUUGGGGAUAGGCCUAUCCUCUUCCCUGGGGCAUCGCCGCCUCGCGCCCGGGAGGAUUAUGUCAGGUUCUGACCGUGCGAAGGGAGAACAACCGCGUGUAUGAUGGAGCACCGCCCGAUCUCCGCCGCCUCUGCCGUCACCUGAAUCAGAGUCAGAUGCUUACCCCGACCAUGGAAACAGAUUCGGGUGUUCGGGGUCGAGUAGGUCCUCCGGGAUGAUGCCCCAUCGGUCACAUGCCGACCAAGAUCGAAUCGCGCUCGUUGUCGUCAUAAAGGGAGCAGACGGAUUCCAGAAGGGUGAUCAUGCCCUCGAGUUCAACAAGCUCCCUGAGGAUGGCAGCAAUUGUGUCGUGGUCCAUCCUGGAACAGUGAAGACAUUGAGGAUCUGAAGGACCGCUGAAUCGCCACAUCGGCUGGCCCCUCGCCUGCAAGGGGGCCAGGCGGUGGCGCAAAAAGUUGAGCGCCACCAUAUGGCAGUGAAGCCCGAGCUCUGACAAGCGCCGAAUGCGAUCCAACACUGGAAGCCAGGCUCUAUCGACCACCGGAGCCCUCCUCCAUCCUUUAUGCUCGAUUGCGCGGGCCAUGGCUUCUUGCAGAAGCACCCAGUAUCCCGGAGGCCGGUGAGCACCCACCUUUGACGCCAGUUCGCCGAGACAGAGUGCAGUCCAAGCUCUGGAUACCCAAGGUUUUUCACUCUGUCCGCUAGGAUGAAAGACACGCAUCCAAAGACCUGAUCCCCAGGGGACAUGUGCAUCGAGAAGAAAUGGCGGAAAAGCUGCAGCGAUGAAAUCAUCCCCACAAAUGCUUCGCACAAAUGGGCGAAUAAGGCUAGAGUCAAGACUGCAUUUGGGCAGGGAUGGAGCAAAUGAAUUUGGUAGUGCUCUAGAACGGCGCGAAGAAGGCAGAAAAUAGGGGGACCAACCCCGCAGCGAGGAAGAUGACGAAGAUGGGUGUGUCAAUGACAUCGGAUUCCGCCGGCCACCUUGAGUCGGGUCCCCCCCCCCACUCGUUGCUCUCCUCGCUGACGAGGUGGCGGACCUUAUCGAGCCCCUUGGCAUUCAUAAUCCUCAUACGUGGCAAAGCCUGCGGGGGUGGGUUCUGACGGUGUGGCCCCUCGCUUCGUCCUCUCUUUGCCGACGCGUUUUUUCUCCGCAGCGCCAUGAUACGGUGAGGAGGCGUUUGCUUUGGGAAGGAGAGAUGAGGCAUGGGCUCCGUCAUCUAUUGACUCUUCGAACUUAUGUUCAGCGGGGGCGGGGGCUGAAAUUGCUUGCCAAUCGAGAAACCAUUGUUUUUUGUCCGCUCAUCCCAGUUGGGGGAAUCAUGGAACAAGAAUCGAGAAGACGCCAGCACAUGAUGACAGUUUGGCUAACAUCUUCAUGAUGGCAUGUGAAACUAAGAUAUUGAGAAGGCGUAUUGCUGCAUUGAAGGCCGACGACACGUGUUGGACCCUCUCCGGUCCGCGGCCCCAUUGCUCCUCCUUCGUAUAUCACGGAGGUUGCGAUCGAAGAGUGGGUCAGGGGCUACUGUUGUACCCGUGGAUUAUGGGGUAUCCAGGAUCGGACGACCGAGACGAUCGACGGCACCAUGGAGAAGCAAGGAGUAAAUACGGUGAUGGAAGGAGUUCUUCGAGACAAUUUGGGGAUUUCUCCCUACCGGACGAGCCUCCCAGGAAGCCAUCCCGGGAACCUCACAUGAGAUGGGUGAAGGGGUUUUGCCUGGCGGUACAAAGGUGGACUGCACCUACGGACGAAGCAUGGAGCGGAAGCAAUGAGGUUUGACUUUAGGCGACCUACCGAUGACGUCCCGUCUUUGGGUGGUCAUCAACAGUGUUGCGGGACAACCCACUUGAGCACGCCAUAAGAUGGCUUUGUAGCAGGCUACGGGUGCUAGGGGGUACCUUCUGUGAUUCUCUCCCUUCACCUCAAACCGCCUUCCGCCCUCGCCCGCGUUGUAUAAAUAAGGGAGGAUUGGGACCUUGAAACCUUACGAUUACUGGACGUGUUCAGUCCCUGGCCAAACUCUCAAAGGGUUGUUGCUCCCAACUCAUAUGUAGGUUCUUAGAGGCCGACAGCGCACACUGCUAAAUUUAAUUUACCGGUGAUGUUUCCUGUGUUGAGACGCUCGUAAAGUUACAUGGACGACAAGGCUGUAGCGUGCUAAGUACUAGCAGCAUUUGAUAAAUCUAAACGCUGUCAAUACUCAGAUCUCAACGAUGUUUGAGUUGUAUGCAGUUGAUAGUUUGGAAAAAAAUUGUAGCCGCGUUCUAUUUUUCUGACACGUACCCAGUAGCGAAAUCCUACAAGGUUUUUUUCUAGUGAUAGGAGUAAUAUGGCUCCCCUAAGACUCAUAACAUGAAUAUGAAUUAAUCUGAAUAUAUUUCCUUGUGCACUUUUUUGUGAGUGCAUUGCACAUGAGAAAUUAGUAGUUGUAUUACAAUGGAGCAAAACUUGUUCAUUUAACUUAAGUGUUAUCAUUCCCGUAACAUUUUCCAUUAACUAAAACCCAAAUACAUGCAAACAUAUCCUUUAAACUAAGUUCUAAAGGCCCUCAGUUAAAUUGUUUCUGUUGGGGAACAUAGCAUGCAUUUUCAAAAAAAUUCCUAUGAUCACGCAAGAUCUAUCUAGGAGAUUUAUAGCAACCAGAGGGGGAGAGUGUGUCCACGUACCCUCAUAGACCAAAAGCGGAAGCGUUAGUUUAACGCGGUUGAUGUAGUCGAACGUCUUCGCGAUCCAACCGAUCAAGUACCGAACGUACGGCACCUCCGAGUUCAGCACAUGUUCAGCUCGAUGACGUCCCUCGAACUCUUGAUAAAGUGUCGAGGGAGAGUUUCGUCAGCACGACGGCGUGGUGACGGUGAUGUUGAUGUGAUCCGCGCAGGGCUUCACCUAAGCACUACGACAAUAUGACCAGAGGAGUAAACGGUGAAGGGGGGCACCGCACACGGCUAAGAAACAAUUGAUGUUCUUUGGGGUGCCCCCUGCCCCCGUAUAUAAAGGAGGAGAGGGGAGGAGGCAGGCCCUAGGGGGCGCGCCAAGUGGGGGGAAACCCACUAGGACUCCUAAUCCUAGUCGGCCCCCCUUCCUUCUUUCGGAGGGGGAAAGGGGGAAGGAGAGGGAGAGGGAGAAGGAAAGGGGGGACACGCCCCUCCCCUUGUCCAAUUCGGACUGCCCAUGGGGGGCGCAUGCCACCCCUUGUGGGCUGCCCUCUCUCUCCCCUUAUGGCCCAUGUGGCCCAUUACUUUCCCCGGGGGGUUCCGGUAACCCCUCGGUACUCCGAUAAAUAUCCGAAACACUCCGAAACCAUUCCGGUGUCCGAAUACUAUCGUCCAAUAUAUCAAUCUUUACCUCUCAACCAUUUCAAGAAUCCUCGUCAUCUCCGUGAUCUCAUCCGGGACUCUGAACAAUCUUCGGUCACCAAAACACAUAACUCAUAAUACAAAUCGUCAUCGAACGUUAAGCGUGUGGACCCUACGGGUUCGAGAACUAUGUAGACAUGACCGAGACACAUCUCCGAUUAAUAACCAACAGCGGAACCUGGAUGCUCAUAUUGGUUCCUACAUAUUCUACGAAGAUCUUUAUCGGUCAAACCGCAAUGACAACAUACGUCAUUCCCUUUGUCAUCGGUAUGUUACUUGCCCGAGAUUCGAUCGUCGAUGUCCUCAUACCUAGUUCAAUCUUGUUACCGACAAGUAUCUUUACUCGUUCCUUAAUGCAUCAUCCCGCAACUAACUCAUUAGUCACCUUGCUUGCAAGGCUUAUCAUGAUGUGCAUUAACGAGAGGGCCCAGAGAUACCUCUCCGUUACUCGGAGUGACAAAUCCUAAUCUCGAUCUAUGCCAACCCAACAGACACCUUCGGAGACACCUGUAGAGCAUCUUUAUAAUCACCCAGUUACAUUGUGAAGUUUGAUAGCACACAAGGUGUUCCUCUGGUAUUUAGGAGUUGCAUAAUCUCAUAGUCAAAGGAAUAUGUAUAAGUCAUGAAGAAAGCAAUAGCAAUAAAACUUAACGAUCAUUAUGCUAAGCUAACGGAUGGGUCUUGUCCAUCACAUCAUUCUCCUAAUGAUGUGACCUCAUUCAUCAAAUGACAACACAUGUCUAUGGUCAGGAAACUUAACCAUCUUUGAUUAACGAGCUAGUCAAGUAGAGGCAUACUAGGGACACUUUGUUUUGUCUAUGUAUUCACACAUGCAACAAGUUUCCGGUCAAUACAAUUCUAGCAUGAAUACUAAACAUUUAUCAUGAUAUAAGGAAAUAUAAAUAACAACUUUAUUAUUGACUCUAGGGCAUAUUUCCUUCAGUUUCUUAAUAUUUAGAUUUGCCCUUUCUUAAGUAAUUCCUAGCUAGAUACACAUUUACUUUCUUAAUCACUUUAUUUAUUAUUGACUUUUAAAUGCUUCUCAUUAUUUUGUCAUUUAUAUCUAGAUUACCCCUUUACUAAAUUGAUUCCAUGUAUAUGUUGUGUAUUCUUUGUACUAGAUUUGCUUUCAAAUGAUCCUCAUUUAUUUGUCUACUAAAGCGAAUAUUUGCCUUCAAUAUUUUCCAUUGAAUGAACUCAUUUAUUCGCUACAUUCAUCGUAUAAGAUUAGCUUUUAAAUGUGGCACAUUUAUUUUUCUCAUGAUAUUUGCACCCUCCUUAGCUACUCCUACAUACACAUUGGGAUGCUUUACACUAUUUAAAGAGGGGCAAAAGGGCCUCAGUGGAAAGCAAACAAGCACAAAAAAUUGUUUCCUUCUUGACAUCUAAAUGGAGAAUUGUCUUCAACAUAUUGUGUUGUAUGUGCUACUUCUCGCUAAUGUAAUUACAGGAAAAUCUUCCCCUACAGAGGUAUGUGUUAUACUUUACUCCCAUUAUUUAGGUCGAGACAUAUUCAAUAUUGCAAUAAUCACGAUUUACAUUCUUCAUAAGUUGACUUUUCUUCCUUUUUAUAAUUUGAAGCAAGGAAACUCAUCAAUGCCAUGGCCCUCUGUUCUUCGUCCAAUGAUUUUCCAUACUAGUGAAAAUCUUGCCUCGGAUUAAAAUUCAGUAAUCUCUUAUGUGAGUUCCAUGUGUCUAUUGUAUUUAUUUACUUCAAUUAUUAAUUUCACAAACAUAACUUAAUAUGCAUCCCUGACCCUUAGACUAUGUUUGAUAGAUCACGAGUCAUGUGUGGACUCCUCGAGGUGGUGCUGAGAACUAUUAUGGCAUUGAGGCUACAAUUGAUGUAUAUGGAUUUAAUUUACAACCCGGCCAAUUAAGUGCAGCUGGAAUUUGGAUUCUGAACAAAGGAGAUGGAAAACCAUCUUCAGCUAGUGGAUUUCAAGUUGGAUGGAGUGUAAGUUACAUCUAGGCUGGAGAGCCACAAGUUGAUUGGACUGAUUUAAUUUAUUAAUCAUUAAACAACUAAGGAAAUAAAAGGAACUAUUGUAAUAUGCUCUUUGUACUCCAUAGAACCCAAUCAAUAAUUUAUUGUAGAACAUUUUAGUUAGGACUAUUUUGUUUCUCAAGCAAUGAUGUUAUAUGUGUAUGUAAACUUUCUCGCCAAAAUAAAGGACACAAACAAAUCUAAUGUGCAAAUUUUUCUAAAUAAUAUAAAAUAUUGUGAAAAAUCAUCACAAAAAGAGCAGUUGCGUAUUGAAAAAAUAAUUAUACUAUGCGAAUUCAAAUAGACAUGGCAUGAUUUAAAGAAGUUUGUGCAUUGUAAAUAUAUCACUACAUAAGACUACCAUAUUUUGCGCAUCAAUGUGAACACUAGUGAAUUUUAUGCAGAUUUUCCGAGGUUCUACAAAGAUUCACAUACCCAUUUCUACACAUCUUGGACUGUAAGUUUCAUUCAGUGAACUCUUUAAUGUAUAGUAAUAAUAGUUUGUGCUGAAGAUAUACAUUUAGGAGUGAUUACCUCAAAGUGUUCAUUGCACUACUAUACAUUCACGAACUAUAUGUGUCAUUGGUAUGGAAAUAGCAGAAGAAUGGGCUAUCUUGUCAUUAGUUUUUGUGAUGUAAAGUUAGCAAGGUGUGUAGUAGGGCCUUAUUUGGAGGCCAUCCUACACCAAUAAAAGGUUCACACAUUGAUGCCUUUUGAAUAGGUUUGGUGCAUCCUUGGAUCCGAACUUAAUAUCGUGUUGCGAAUGCAAUAAAUGGAAGUGUCUAGAAUAGCCAAUGGGAUAAAAUAUAAGGCCUCCUUGAUCCUCCCUUAGAUGAGAGAAAUGCUUGAUUGGUGACUCGGUUCGAAGACAAGUCUACCUCUAAGCUCCCUACACUCAAAAUGAUCCGAGUCUUUCAAGGUCUCUCGGGUCUGUCUCAACACUUCGAGCUGUAAAGGGCUCUAUGGACUACAUCUACCCCUAAGCUCUAGUGAAGUGUGUAUGGUUACAUGCUUCACGGAGGGCUUACAAAGUUUAUGGGUGGCUGACAAAUGGCCAAGGCUACCUAUUGUGGUGGUCGAUAGGUAGAAGGGAUACAAUUGUAAAUUUUGUCUACUAGUCUGUGGUAAAAUAGGGAAGAGGCGUGGAGUAUGUUCCAUGCUGGACUAGUCCACAUAUCCCUCCACUUAAAGGUUCUACUCUACUUGCUCUUCACAUUGAGAAUAUUUCUUCUAGCUAUUGUUUCCUACUUUUGAUUUGUUGGCCAAGACUAGUUUCUUAGACUUUUGUUGACUACUUGAGUUCAAAAAUUCGCCAUCAUACCAUGUAGGACUAUGUGGGACCCAUAAGUAGGAUUAGCUAUUCCGUCAACAAUAUGUAUGCCUCUUUCAUUGUAAAAUGAAUUCACAUACUAAAGUGAUCUUUAUCACAUCCAAAAACUUUAGGUACAAUGCCUUCUUUUGGCCCUGAAAUAUUAGGAAAAGCUCCUACUACAUAUUUAAAAAGCGAGGUCUUCACCUUUGGUCAGUACCACUAAAAGGUUGAAAGCAAACAAAGUGUCUAACCAAGGGAGUAUAGAAAGGAAAAAAUGAACGGUUUAAAGGCACACUUAACCUUAAGGAAAUUAGGGAUAUGUCUCAUUGGAAACAUAGUAGCCAAGACUGGGUACUACUUCCCCCCUAGAAACAUGACUGUGGAUUUUUUUCAAAAUAAUUAAUGCAUAGUUUUAUGAAAAUCAUAAAUGUUACACCCUCCGUUCCAGAAUACUUAUCAUGGUGAACUAAACCAAUAAGAAUUAUGAAAUGGAGGGCGUAAUGUAUACCAAAAAAGUAUGCAAGACUCAAAAGAUUGUAACAUGUUUUCUAUAUUGCUAUGACAGAGUGGUGGAUCGCCCGCGAAGGGUUGUAGUGACAUGAUUUGUCCUGGCUUUCAAAAGACAUCAUCGAGUAUAGCUCCGGGAAGUAUCAUUAAUCCAGUUUCAGAUAUCCGGGGCCGAAAAUCAUACAUUACAAUAAGAGUUUUCAAGGUAAACAUGUUGCCCAAAUUCUACCUAGAUUAUUUAUCCUCUUGCAUUUAUUUUGGGUAUGGGGAGCAGUGCAUUUACUUUGGUGUUUUUAUAUUUAUAUUAAGGUGUUCAAAUGAGUUGGAAACUAGAACUAGCCGGAAUCAAACUGUUGUGGACAUUGUUGAGUCCUGCACCAACCCUGUGAACUCAGCAAUGUUCAAAAUCUCGCAUAAAGCUUUUGUUAAUUGUACUUGUUGGACCGACCUGUAAUGACAUACAAGAAAUUCUUAUCAUUGUAUAUUGGCUCAUGGUUGGUAGGGUGGGAUGCAACAUAUUUUUGGAGAAUGGCAUGCAUGUUAUGUAGUAAAAAUCUGUUCCUGACUACGACUCACACAAAUUUUAGGUUGUCACUCCAUAAAGUUACAAAUCCACUACGGCUGGCAAUGCACGACUUAAUUAGCCCUUGUGACAGCAACUUUAUGUCUAUUAGUCACCAUAACUUCUAAUAAUAAUUAUGUUGCUUACAACUAGGCCCAGUCUGUCAGACUCCAUCAACUGAAAUGAAUAUUGAUUGAUUAAAGCAUACGUAGUUUUGUGAUAUGACUAUCCAAAUAUGUAAUGCCUUCAUAAAUUCUCUUAUAAGUGUGAUUUUGAUAAGUUUAUCAAACUGAAUGCUCUCAAGAAUGUUUUAAAUAGUUGUUAUUUAUGUUUCCAGGAUAAAUCUUCUGGUGACUGGCACGUCCAUUAUGGAUUAAACGGUGGUAUCAAACCAGUUGGCUAUUUUCCCAAAUCCUUGAUUCCAGGACUUAUUGAUAGGAAAGUUGAGAUUAGUUUUGGAGGCUAUGUGUCUCACCAAAAGCCACAACCGAGUCCUCCGAUGGGAAGUGGCUACGCUCCAGCCAGUGGCAAUGCUGCGUCCUUCAAAAAUAUCAAACUAAUUGAUGCCAAUGGCAAUGCUCAUCUUGUGAACACAAAUCUUCCAUUUCGUGUGGACCCCAAAAGAUGCUAUCCUAUAUCUUACAUUGAUUCAGCCAGGUUCUUUUACGGGGGAUCUGGAUGUGCUGAUUAAAUCUGGAUGUCCCGUAUAUGUACUUGAAUUUCUAAUAAAAUAAGAAAUGAUUGUUCAUUGAUGCCUUCAAUUGAUAAGGACAAUUUGGCGGGUACCUUGCAAUAUUAUGUUGCCGCACAUGAUUUUAUUUUACUAAUAGGACAUCACCACAGGUAACUAGGUAUUACUAGACACGGUAUUGUCCAAGCUUGAGCCCCCAGGGUUGAGUAAGAGACAAGACCAUAUCUCGAGAAAGAGCACAAUGGUGGAUACGAGGUGAGAAUCUAACAAGUGGUUGGAUAUUUGAUGGUCGUGGUGGAUGAAUUAGGCAACCUACUGUAGAAGUUUCGAGAUUCUCUUUCCCAGUUAUAUAUUGUGCAAUAUGCAGAGCUUGUACAACCUACCGUCUUAUAGGCAAAAAAUAACUCUUCUUUAUAGAACUUAGAUAAAAAGAGAUUCAAAGAGGAUUAAAGUGCAAGUAUAAAUGCCUUACAAACUUCUUUUUUGAGAGCAUGCAAAUCGUAUGCCUUAACUUUAUAGAAGUCAGAAGGUAAAAUACAAAAAAACCAGUAUGUUCCCACAAUAGGUUGGUGAGUAGCGAACACCACCAGAUGGCGAGACACAAACAACCAGGAGAAAGUCAUCAUCUUGGAGUCACCCAUGACGGCAUACAUAGAGCCCUUGGCGAAAACUCUAGUACCAUGGUGAACACCAGUGGAACAUAAACAAGGAUGUCAUCACGCGUAGGCAGAACACAUGUGAGACACUAAGGACUGGAGACAUCCCUUGCCGAUUUGUAGAUGGGGUGCAAAGCGUGGAUCAAUCUCAAGGGGAGAAGUGUAGAGAGGACAUCGAGGUUCGGGCCGCAUGGCUGCAUAACACCCUACUCCUGCUUUUAUGUAGUUGAUUUGGUGGAUAGAGAGCUUCAAGUCCUUUUGGGAACGGAAAGUGUAGUGUUGCUCCUAUCUAAGUUCUACCAAGUGUCCAACCUUAUCCUGAAGUGGAUCUGGUCUAGUGUUUAUCCCCUGCCUCCCAUAGCUCGGUUCUCCUUUUAUAUUGCAAGGGACACCACAGUUGUUACGGAGGAGGGCAACUACCACAGAGAGGUAGGUAAGUUCAUUAAAUUCUUGAUGAAGUGUUGCCGUCUUCUGGUCUCUAAGAAUGAACACACAUCUUGUCUCCACCGCCCAUGGUGUUUACCUGGCGCAGAUGUGACACUCCUCCUCAUAGGUGCAGACCAUGUGGAAAUAUUAUCAGGGUGAUUCAUCCCUUGUAUCGCUGUCAUUCCAUUGGCACGCCUGCACACCCACUGCACAUCGUAAAAGGUCUGCUUAUGUAGGACUAACACGCCACCCGGGGGGGGGGGGUUGCGGUGGCUGGCUGUCUUCACUUAACGGAUGUGGGCCAGGUGGAAUGGUCAUUGUCGGGUGUGCUUGUUCCCAGAAGUCGGGUGUCCUGGAGUUGUUCCUUCCAGUACUUAGUUGCUGGCUUGGAGAAGAGUGUAGCAGAUCUAGACAAAGAUCUGCAUGGCACAACGGAGCCUGGGCUCCUUCUUGUUGUUGCUUGUUGAUGAUCUUGACAAAGAUUUGCAUGCUACCACAGAAUUGUGGUUGAAGGCUUAUUGCCGGAGUGUUUCUUCAUCUGUACUGCCUCGGAUGGGAGGCGACUGUGGCCUGUGCAUAAUUGGUUUCGUGAACCCAACGGUCAUGGUACCGACAGAAGGUUCCAGGCCUGGGCCGGAUGUGUACCUCACACAAGGUCAGUGUCGCGAGCCCCCUCAUCUGGUCAAGUCAGUUGCAUAAGAUAAAAUGAACUGCAGUGAGUGGAAAAAAAUCCCUCGAGCUACCUGUUCAAAUGCCAGUAGAUGGUUAGGCUUGAAUCCUCCUGUCCAUAAAUGCAAUGGGAUUUGAUGGCAUAUUGGGGUAGUUUGCAAUGCAUGGCGCCCUUUUCACAUCAGCGACAGGAAUCAAAUCUACCGCUUCAGUUUUUGACGACGUGUCGGUCCGUGCAUGUGGCCAGUUCACUCUUGACCCCCUUUAGUUCUUGCGCCGACGAGAGAAGUCAUGAUGCCGCUUUCCAUUUAUUCCCAAGACAGAUGAGACAGGGCACCGCUUGAGUUCAUCUUGGGAACCAUAGGUGCACUGGUAUGACCGAUGAUCCUCACGAUCGAGGAGUCGAUCUACCAGGUCCUUCGGCUUAUAAACACCGAGAAGGGACAUACUGCUCCUCCUCUUCCUUCAGUUCUUCCCCCUCCCUCCUCCUUCAUCUCCUCAUGGCAACUCAAGAAGUUGCAGAGUUUGAGGUGAAGCUCCUCGCAGAGGAGGUCCAGGCCCAAAGGGUGAAUCUCCAGGCCAAUGACACAAAGCUCAAAAACCUAAAGGAGAGGAUGAGGAUGGAGCUCCAUGUUGAAUAUAUUGUGUGCAUGUAUAUUGUGUCUUGGACCCACCUCAUAGUUCUCGUGUAUAGUUUUGGUUGUGGCCCCAUCCUGUACAUCAUAUAUGCGUGCCCAGUGCACCGAUCAAUGUAAUUGUGUUUCACGGCCUAUUCUUAGUCUUCUACAUGGUAUCUAUUGCAAGUCGGUCCUAACCCUAGCCGUCUCCACCACCGCGCCUCCACCGUGCCGCCGCUUCCUCCACUCGCCGCCGCCGCUCCCGGUUCCCUCCGGCCGCCGCUGCCCUCCCCACCCGAAGCCGCCGCCGCCAGCAUUCGCCGCCGCUCCUUCCUCUCCCACUUCCACACCCACUCCCCACCACCCACUCCCGCCACCACUCCCCACCCACGCCGCCCCACCCCUAGCUGCGCCGCCACCAACGCACACCGCCCCACCGUAGCCGCGCCGCCCCCACCUCCUACUAGCCGCACCAUGAGUUCCUCCUCCUCCACCGUCUCCAACCCCUUUGUCGGUCCAGAUGUCACCCUCGUUCGCGAUCUGAACAUCCACGAGCAUGUUCCGAUGGUUCUUGAUCAAUCCACCACGUCCUACUCCGCUUGGAAGCGGUAUUUCUCCUUGGUGUUUCGCGAGUACUUGCUCCACAACCAUGUCGAUGGCACCGUGGACUCCAACCUCAUGAUCCACUACAAGGAGAGAUGAUCCUCGACUGCACCAUCAUCCGCUGGUUCUACCUCACUAUCUCCAAGGAACUCUUUGAUACGUCCAUUUUGCAUCAUGUUUUCCUACUAUUAUUUAUGAUGUUUUUAUGCAUAAUAAUGCUUUUUGGAGUAAUUCUAAUGCCUUUUCUCCCAUAAUAUGCAAGGUACACACAAAGAGGGAGAACUUCGGCAGCUGGAAAUCUGGACCUGGAAAAGCUAUGGGAGGCCACCUAUUCUGAACAACUCCAAACAAGAUGAAACUUCACAGAGAUUUUUUAUGGAAUACUUGAAGAAUAUUGGAGCAAAUAAGUACCAGAGAGGGCCCAUCAGGUGGGCACAACCCACGUGGUCGCGCCCUGGUGGAUUGUGCUCACCCAGGCCCACCUCCGGUGCCCAUGUUUUGGUAUAUAAGUCAUUUUGACCUAGAAAAAAAUAAGGAGAGGACUUUCGGGACAGAGCGCCGCCGUCUCGAGGAGGAACUUGGGCAGGAGCACUUUUUCCCUCUGGCGGAGCAAUUCCACCAGGGGAACUUCCCUCCCGGAGGGGGAAAUCAUCGUCAUCAUCAUCACCAACAACUCUCCCAUCUUGGGGAGGGCAAUCUCCAUCAACAUCUUCAACAACACCAUCUCCUCUCAAACCCUAGUUCAUCUCUUGUGUUCAAUCUUUAUACCGGAACUAUAGAUUGGUGCUUGUGGGUGACUAGUAGUGUUGAUUACAUCUUGUAGUUGAUUACUAUAUGGUUUAUUUGGUGGAAAAUUAUAUGUUCAGAUCCAAUAUGCUAUUUAAUACCCCUAUGAUCUUGAGCAUGAUUAUCAUUUGUGUCGGAGUAAAUGGCCACGGGUAGCCUAACCGACUCGCCCUGGCUCUUCAAAAAUUACCAGGCCAAUCGAGCCUUCAAGCAUCCAGAGCACAGGGCCGCCUUCCCCUAGCCGGCUAUCACCUAGGCCGACUAGCAGAAGGCGACCUGGCCUCAAAAACCUUCCCGAAGAGAACUACAAGAUGGCCGACUCCAGGAAGCCGGCCCCAAGAGGACCGACUCCCAGAAGCCGGCCAUGAAGAAGUCCGACUCCCAGAAGCCGGCCAAGACUGCACCCUCAAGGGCUACACCCACAUAAUGGUGAUGAGACGGGGCGUGGCUACAGUACAACCUGCCACCCCCCGAAUCCCGGAGCACGUGUGGCCACAGUACGCCGUACGGGUCGGCCAUCCCCUGUCCGGCGCAGCACUGUUGCCAUGUUGACCAUGACACCACCCACGACAGGUGCUAGUACGGCCCGCGGGCGGCGGGCCCCUUCAGCCAGAGAGAUGCUCGACGGCGGCCAGGCCUCCCCCAGUCGGCCUGGGGCGUAGCCGGCUCCCAACAGCCGGCUAUUCCCCAUCCUCGAAGUAUGUGCAUCAUUAAGGAGACAAGACGAGGUAAGGCUACAGUGAGAGCCCGCAAGGCGGCGGCACUGUGGCCAUGCUUACCUCGACAAAGCCCUCGUCAUCAGAGGCAAGGCUACAGUAACCAGCCACCGACAAGACCCCCAGGCGGUGGGGCCGGCCUAUCGGCCAUGAGGCCGGCAGCCGGCGGGACCCACGAGUCGGCGGGCCCCAGCGGUCGGCGGAGAAGCCGGCGAAUACAAACACUGACGGCUAGGACCCGCGUCCAGCCGGAUUACCAUUGUACCCCUGGGGGGUAGGCCUAUAUAAACCCCCCAGGGCAGCCAUGCAAAGGAUUGAUCUGAUAUAGUUUUAGACACCACGUAGAGAAAAAGGAGAGCUAGCCUUGCCCUUCUUCUUCCUCUAGCCAAACAGCUCAAGGAGCCUCUUGUAGCUACUUGUGUUGAUCUAGUGAUCAUGCGGAGACCCCGCAGAGCAGGAUUAGGGGUGUUAUCUCCUCGGAGAGCCCCGAACCUGGGUAAGAUUCGCUGGCGUGCAUGCCUUCGCCUUAUCCCGUUUCCAGGCACCGGCGAUGUCUUACUGGCUCCCACAAUGAUAAGCCACCCGUUGGCAUAUGUCGCACCUACCACCCGACAUUUGGCGCCCACCGUGGGGCCAGGUGCACUGUCGUCCAGAGACCUAUUCUGGACGAGAACCCUUUUCCUUCCCCGCGAGCGUAGCCAGCCCGCCACGUCCGAUGGUGCCUGCCCUGACGCGCUGCAAGGCGUCGACGACGCCUGCGCGGCGAGCUGCCUCGCCGAUCUUCUUGGCGAGGCUCGCAUCUCUGACGAGCCUGCGUCCGACGCGGGCACAGACUGCCCCGAGAGCCGCCUCAUCAGCCUCCUCGACGAGCUCCACGUCUCCAGCGAGCUUGCUGUGGACUUGGAGUCGGUCGGCUCCACCGACCCGAUGCUGGUCGACUCCGACACGGCAUCACUUGACGCCUUCCCCACCAACAUGGUGAUCAUCGACGACCCUCUCCCUCGAGACGACAGUGGCAGCAGCGCUGUCACUGAGGUAUUGGUCAUCAGCCACGGCGCCGUCUCCGACGAGAACGCCCACGACGCCCUACAAGCGGCGCUGCGCGACUUGUCCGUCCCCAUCCCGGCCGACGCCGACGCCGAGACACUGGAGGCACGCCGCCUCGCCCUCGUCGCGGAAGGCCAGAAGAUAGCAUCCAUGAGACGCCUCACUGAGGCUCACCAGCGCGAAGUCGACCGCUCCGCCUUUCGUACGCCGCCUCCUGGCGUGCCGAGCUGAGCCGGCUUCGUCAAGAAGCGCGACGCAGCCAUCGCCAGCAUGCUAGGAGCAGAUCGCCCAGUCUACGCCACGCCGCUCGAGAACCUGCGUGUCGCCCAGGCGGCCGCAGACGAGCUGAACGGGCUGGGGGCUGACGAGCUCCCCUACAUGACUAAGCGCAUCCAGCAGCUGAUCGACGCUGCCGCAGGGCAGCAUGAAGCCAGCGCCCGCGCUGAAAGUCCUCACCCACGCCGAGAGCACGACGCGACAUCCCGGACGCCGACUACAGACGGCGCCCGCGCAAGAAAAGACAAGGAGCUGGCUGCUAGCCACAGCCGGACUCGGCUCACCGUCGAGCGCGACGCAGAAGGCCACCCCCGAGCUGUGGAACGACGAGGCGAUCCGCCUCCUCCCCUGCCUCGUGGGGAGAGAUAUCCCACCCCGCCGCCUGUCACGCAUCCGACUCUCGGCGGCCGACUAGGCCGCCGCGAGGGAGUCGGCGAGAAUGAUGCCCGCCACCGGAUCGACCGCCUAGCGCGAUCCCUGGCGCUAGAAGAAGAAGAUGAUGUCGGCCCACCUUGCUUUGGCCCCUGCAUCCGCGACGAGCCCUUCCCCAAAGGGUUCUCGCUCCCAAGAGACACGCCAAAGUACAACGGCUCCGUGAAGCCGGAAGACUGGUUGAUCGACUACUCCACCGCAGUCUGCAUAACAAACGGCAACAGGCGCGUUGCCGUGAAGUACGUCCCGCUCAUGCUUCAAGGCACGACACGCACUUGGCUGAACAGCCUCAAGCCCUACAGUAUCAACAGCUGGCUAGACUUCACGGAAGUCUUCGUCCGCAACUUCACCAGCACGUACAAGCGGCCUCCCAAGCCCCGCCAGCUCUCCUUGUGCGUGCAAGGGCCCAGCGAAUCGACUCGCGACUACCUCACGCGUAGGGCCGAGCUCCGUAACUCCUGCGAGGGGGUGCACGAGGUUCAAGCCAUAGAGUACUUCACCGCCGGGUGCCAAGAGGGCACCCUCCUCAAGCACCGACUCCUCUGCGAUGAGCCGACUACCCUCGACGAGCUGCUGAUCAUAGCAAACAAGUACGCCACUGCCGACUCCUCGAUGAAGACCGAGCUUCGAGUGGAUGCCUCUGGGAAGGUACUCGCUCCGGCUCCCAAGACGCCGGCUGCCGACUCCAACCAACGCCCUUACCAGAAUGACAACAAGCGCAAGGCCCCCAUGCCGCCUUCCACCAGUCGGCAAGUAGCCACAGUCGAAGACGAACAAGCAGAAGAGCGGCCCGCUCCCAAGAAGCGGAAGGCCGGCAGGCCGGCUUGGAAGCCGGCUUUCUCCUACGAGCAAACCCUUGAUGCUCCCUGCAAGUUUCACAGCGGCGCGAAGCCGUCCAACCACACGACACAGAAGUGCCAUUGGCUCACACGGGUCUCCAAAGGCGAGGGGCUGGUGCCGCCUCCACCUGCUGGCCCGCCGCCUCCGGCCCCUCAGCAGCCGGCUGUUCGCCCCGCAGUCGGAGCCAUUCAAGAUGAGUUCCCAGAUGAGAACGCCUCCUACGUCGUCUUCACGAGCCAAAUCGAAGAUAGGCACAGUCGGCGCCGACAGCGCCAAGAAGUCAACACAGUUGCCUCCAACAACCCAGAGUUCAUGCAUUGGUCUGAGAAGCCCAUCAGCUGGAUCCAGGCUGAUCACCCAGAGGUGAUGCCGUCUUCUGGCUCCUAUGCAUUGGUGUUGAACGCCACCCUCGCGACAGAAAGGCGAGCUGCCCGUUUCUCCCGUGUGCUGAUUGACGGCGGGAGCAGUAUCAACAUAUUGUACCGUGACACCAUGGAGAAGCUGAACCUCAAGACGAAGCAACUCAUGCCAAGCCGGACUGUUUUCCAUGGUAUCGUACCUGGCCUGUCCUGUUCCCCAAUCGGCAAGAUCAAGAUGGAUGUCCUCUUCGGAGACAAGGAUCACUUCCGCCGAGAGGCGAUCUGGUUUGAAGUGGUGGAUCUAGAGAGCCCUUACCAUGCAUUGCUUGGCCGACCUGCCCUGGCCAAGUUCAUGGCUAUGCCCCACUACGCCUACCUCAAGAUGAAGGUGCCGAGUUUGAAGGGGAUCAUCACCAUAGCCGGAGACUACAAGAAAUCUUCCGAGUGUGCUGCAGCCAGCAGCCGGCUAGCCGAGUCCCUGUUGAUUGCUGAAGAGAAGAAGAUGCUGGACCGAGUCGUGGCCAUGGCCGGCAAGUAGCCGGCCCUGUCCCCCGAUCCCAAGGAGUAUGACGCUCAAGGCUCCUUCCAGCCAGCCAAGGAAACCAAGAAGAUACCGUUGGACCCGGAGAACCCGGAGAGGUUUGCUGUCAUUGGGGCAAACCUGGACAGUAAAUAGGAAGGCGAGCUCAUCGACUUCCUCCGUGAGAAUUGGGACAUCUUUGCAUGGUCCCCAAAGGACAUGCCAGGUGUUCCGAAGGAUUUCGCCGAGCACAAGCUACACGUUCAAGCAGACGCAAAGCCAGUCAAGCAACCUCUCCGCCGACUGUCGGAGGAGAAGAGAAGGAUAGUGGGUGAAGAGAUAGCCCGGCUCCUGGCAGCCGGCUUCAUUAUGGAGGUGUUUUUCCCAGAAUGGCUUGCCAACCCGGUCCUAGUGUUGAAGAAGAACAACAAAUGGCACAUGUGUAUAGAUUACACUAGCCUCAACAAAGCCUGCCCCAAAGAUCCGUUUGCCUUACCUCGAAUUGAUCAAGUGAUAGACUCCACAGCUGGAUGCGAGCUGUUGAGUUUCUUGGAUGCCUACUCAGGCUACCACCAGAUCAAGUUGGAUCUAGCCGACCGCCUGAAGACCGCCUUCAUCACACCAUUCGGAGCUUUCUGCUACCUGACUAUGACAUUCGGCUUGAGAAAUGCCGGUGCCACUUUUCAGCGUUGCAUGCAGAAAUGCCUCCUCAAGCAACUCGGCAGAAAUGCCCACGUCUAUGUAGAUGAUAUCGUGGUGAAGACGAAGAAGCGUGACACCCUGCUGGAAGACCUCAGAGAAACAUUUGCCAACUUGCGACGGUUCCAGAUCAAGCUCAACCUUGAGAAAUGUGUGUUCGGAGUACCAGCCGGCCAGCUUCUAGGCUUCUUGGUCUCCGAACGCGGCAUUGAGUGCAACCCAGUGAAGAUCAAGGCCAUUGAGAGAAUGGAGAUUCCUACCAAGCUGCGAGACGUCCAGAAGUUUACCGGGUGCCUGGCCUCCCUAAACCGCUUCAUCAGCCGGCUAGGAGAGAAGGCUCUCCCCCUGUACCGACUCAUGAAGAAGUCCACCCACUUCGAGUGGAACGACCAGGCAGAUCAAGCUUUCCACGAGUUGAAGAAGAUGCUGACCACGCCGCCUGUCCUGGCAGCACCGACUGAGAAAGAGCCCAUGCUCCUUUACAUUGCCGCGACUAGCCGAGUGGUCAGCACAGUGAUUGUGGUCCAACGCCCAGAAGAAGGCCGAGCUCAGUUAGUCCAGAGGCCGGUAUAUUAUUUGAGCGAAGUACUGUCCACCUCGAAGCAAAAUUACCCGCACUACCAGAAGAUGUGCUAUGGAGUAUACUUCGCUGCCCAGAAGCUGAAGCCCUACUUUCAAGAGCAUCCCAUCAUGGUCGUAUGCACUGCCCCGCUUGCCGAGAUCAUAGGCAGCCGGGAUGCAUCCGGCCGGGUGGCUAAGUGGGCCAUUGCGCUGGCUCCCUACACAAUCUUCUACUAGCCCCGCACCGCCAUCAAGUCCCAAGCAUUGGCCGACUUCCUUGUCGACUGGGCCGAGACCCAGUACCUACCGCCGACUCCCGACUCCACUCAUUGGCGGAUGCACUUCGAUGGAUCCAAGAUGCGCACCAGCUUGGGAGCCGGCAUCGUCCUCACCUCUCCCAAGGGCGACAAACUCAUAUACACAUUGCAAAUUCAUUUUGCCGCCUCCAACAAUGUGGCCGAGUACGAGGCGCUCAUACACGGGCUCCGCCUAGCCAAAGAACUCGGCAUACGCCGGAUCCUGUGCUAUGGCGAUUCGGAUCUGGUAGUCCAACAAUCAUCUGGCGACUGGGACGCCAAGGACGCAAACAUGGCGAGCUACCGAUUCCUCGUCCAGCAAAUCAGCGGAUACUUUGAAGGGUGCGAGUUCCUCCAUGUGCCAUGGGCCGACAACGAGCAAGCAGAUGCCCUGGCACGGAUCGGCUCCACCCGACAAGCUAUACCAGCCGGCGUCUCUCUUCAACGCCUCCUCAAACUGUCUGUCAAGCCGUCUCCAGAAUCAGACUCCAUCUUCGUACCGCCUACCCCUGAUGCAGUCGGAUCCGGCUUGGGGAACCCAGCAGGCGGCUCGGGGACUUCGACAGGUGGCCGGGGGACUGCCGUAGUCGCACCCGGCUCGGGGACUUCAGAACCCGGCCCAAGGACUGCAGCAGUCGGCCCGGGGACUGCAACGACACAACAGGCGGUGGCCGACUCCAACUCUUCAGCACCCAACCCACCCACCCUGGUCGCAGUAGCCGUAUUGGCAAUAGAAGAAGUCGCAACUCCAUCAUGGGCCCAACCCAUCCUCAACUUCCUAGUAAACAGAGAGCUGCCGACUGAUGAGAUCUCGGCAAGACAAGUUCAACGCCGAGCCAGAGCAUACACAAUAAUCAACAGAUAACUCAUUAAGCGUAGCGUCACUGGAGUCUUCCAGCGCUGUGUCGAGCCAGAGAAGGGCAUAGCAAUCCUCAAGGACAUCCACCAAGGCGAAUGCGGCCACCAUGUAGCCUCAAGGUCACUUGUCGCCAAAGCUUUCCGCCAUGGUUUCUUCCGGCCGACUGCUUUGGAGGACGCCAAGGAAUUAGUCAAAUGCUGCAAAGGGUGCCAAGUCUUCAGCUCCAAGCAACACCUGCCGGCUUCUGCACUCAAGACCAUCCCCCUUACCUGUCCCUUUGCCGUCUGGGGGCUGGACAUGGUGGGCCCAUUCAAGACGGCGCGCGGCGGCAUGACACAUUUACUUGUCACCGUAGACAAAUUCACCAAGUGGAUUGAAGCGAAGCCAAUCAAGAAGCUGAAUGGGCCGACUGCCGUGACAUUCAUCGCAGGCGAGCGAACGGCCUCAUCCUCUCCGGCAUCAAGCCCCGACUGGUCGUACCACUGGAGCGUUCGGCCGGUUGCUGGCUCGAUGAGCUGCCGGCUGUCCUCUGGAGUCUGCGUACUACCCCAAACAAGUCAACCGGCUUCACCCCUUUCUUCCUUAUAUAUGGUGCCGAGGCGGUCAUCCCAACUGACAUCGAGUUCGACUCGCCUCGAGUCACCAUGUACACGGAGGCGGAGGCCUAGGAAGCGCGAGAAGAUGGCGUCGACCUGCUGGAAGAGGGCCGGCUGUUAGCACUCAGCCGGUCCGCCAUCUACCAGCAGGGUUUGCGCCAUUACCAGAACCGGAAGGUCAAGCCAAGGUCCUUCCAAGAAGGCGAUCUUGUGCUCCGGCUGAUCUAGCGAAUAGCCGGCCAGCACAAGCUCUCGGCCCCUUGGGAAGGCCCCUUCGUCGUCAGCAAGGCCCUAGGCAAUGACUCCUACUACUUGAUCGACGUAUAGAAGCCGAAGGCACGCAAGAGAGAUGAUUCUGGCAAGGAGUCGGAAUGACCAUGGAACGCCAAUCUCCUCAGAAGAUUUUACAGUUGAAAGCAGUAUGUACCACGCUACCUUUUUGUAUUAAGUACAAGACAACGGGCCCCCCGAGGUGUACUCGGGGACUACCCUCUUUUAUCUAUGUAUGACGAGUGUCAUACCUAUGAAUGUAUUGUUACAUUUGAUUUUCUGUCCGGCACCGGGUUCGACCAGUCGGCCCGGGGACUUGCCGCUUUGAGUUAUAUUAAAGUUCUGUCUGCAGUCAGACAAGUAGUGUGCCAGCGCCCGAGCCCUCUCUUGUAGAAAGUCGCAGCUCGAAGAACCGACUGACCGACUGGCAAGAGCCAAAGGCAGGAAAGGAUGCCCACACGAAAAACGGCUAAGGACUAAUGAACCUAUAUAACACAAGCCGGCCUCCCAGCACGCCUACCAGCUGUCAGAACAGCCGGCUGGCCGGCUACCCAUUCACUUUGCUACAAUCCAAGAAAGCUAGAGUACUUGCCCUCCCAACCGGCCAAGCACUUCUCCAGACACAGACUGCAGAGCAGCUGUCCGGCUGAGAAAGCGGCGACCAAGGGAGGGCGGCAAAGGAAACAACCAAAGGAUGAAAAGCAAGAACAAUGGGAAGCCAAACACAUGCAUGAUUAUAUUUACACAAAAGGCCUUCGAAAGGCCGGCAUUUAACAUAGUUUGAAUACACCCCCAGUGGGUGGAACUGUGCAAAUUUAACAAAAUAUUGUUCAAAGAGUAAUAAAACAUGAAAGUAAAGGCGGCAGAUUAGGCUAAGGGCGCAACAGGCGAGCCGGGCUGGUCGGUGGAGACGACAGCGCCAGCUGGAGGAGUGGCCGGCUGGCGAGUCUCGGCUUGAUCAUCGCUGGCUGCAAGCGGUGCGCUCGCACGCGCCUCGUUGCUGGAGGCACGAUCAAGCUGAGGCUGCCGGCUGCUCCACCAUCUGGCACGACGUCUUCACCAUCCUCCUCCUCCUCCUCACCCUCAUCGCUGGAGUCGAUCUCCUCCGCCGAGUCCUCGCCAUCUGCUGGGUUCAGCCCGAACCACUCCUCCGGCUGAGCAACGCCGUUAUCAUCCACCUCAGGAGCAAAGGCGCUGGUGUCGGUGUAGUCGGCGAUCACCGAGGCACGCUGGAUGAUAGGCGGCCGCGCCGACUCUAGCUCCGUGUCGGCCUCCUGCCGCCAGGUGGCCAGCUAGUCCAAGCUCAGCUCAGGAUACCAGGCUUUGACGAACUCCAGCGCCCGCCUGGCGCCUGACCGAGCUGCAGAAGCCUUCCAGGCCUCGAAGCGGCCGGCCGCUACCUCCAGCCAGUCGGCGGUCCGACUGGGGGGUGCGGGGAAUCACCUCGCCGGGCCAGAGAGCGGCCAGCACUUGCGCCCCAACACACUGAAGCCGACGGAGCAUGCGGUGAGCCGGCUGGAGGUGGGCUUGAAUCGCCAGGAGCUGUUCCUCAAGCGACCGGUGAGCGUUCGACGCGAUCUCAGUGCCAGCCUGCCUUUGUGCCUCGCGAUGGGCCUCAAUGACCUGGUUGGCGGCAGUAGAGUAACCAGGGAAGUACUCUGCACAAGAAAGAAAGAAAGAGAAGGAAGAGAAAAAUACAAAGUUAGAAAAUGAACCAAAUGGCAAGCGGCAAGCAAGGAACGAAGAAGAAGGCAGCCUACCGUCAACCAAGUCUUCGAUCUGGCCGUAGCCGUUGAUCAACGACUGCCUCGCUUCAGCCCAGCUCGCCGCCUCGGUCUCGUACUCGGCUUGGAGGGCGGCCUCACUGUCCUGCACCGCCUUCAGGGCCGCCUUGUGGCUCUCCUCCUGGUCGGCCAGCUUCUUGACCAGGCGGUCACCCUCCUGAGCCAAGGCGUCGAACUCGGCUUUUCCUUAGCGCGAAGGGCGGCCUGGGUCCCACCCAACUGCUCCCUCAGUUUGGCGUUGGCCGCUGCAGAUAUGGCAAAGAAGAAAAAAGCAAUAAGAAAGAAGUCGUCAGGAAAGAUCCGGCCCGACUGCUCAGCAGUCGGCCCGAAUCUCGGGGACUACACCCAGUGGGUGCGCUGACGCGCCCCCACGUAAGAUAAAAAAAAGGAAGCACCUACCCCGGCUCUCCGUUAGAUCAGCGGUCUUCUGGGACAGCUCCCGAGCCUGGGAGUUGAAGGCAGCCGCACGAAGGUUAUGGUAGUCCUGCAAGUCGGACAAAGAAGCGAGUAAGAACAAGAUAGCAAAUAAAGUCUACCAAGAAGUUCCAAGCCGCCUGCUCCACAGCCGACUCGGAACUCGGGGACUACACCCAGUGGGUGCGCUGACGCGCCCCCACGGAAGAAACCAAGAUCAAGAAGCAAAAAACGGGAAGACUCACCCGAAUGGCUGCCCGUGUCGUGAGGAUCUCGUCAUUGUACUGCCUCAGCACGGCGGCCUGGGACUGAAGCCGGUUCCGGACUUCUUGCACCGCCACAUCACCACGGCUGUCCCACCACCCGGCGUCCACCCCAAGCUGGCGCUGGCCGUCUCCACGUCCUGGGCCGACGAGCUGGAGCCCGCGGCCUUCUGCGGGUCCGGCGCCGUAGUUGCCUUCCCCGCGCGCUGGCGCGAUGGCGACCGGACCACCAGGUCCGUCCUUGCAGCCUGCUCGCCUCCAGCCGAUUGCGCAGGCGGUGCGUUAGGCCGGCUGCCUUGGGCCGCCCCAGUCGGCGAUGGUGGUGCCGCCUCCCUCUCCUGGACGACGACGUCGUCCUCCUCCCUCUCCAUCCCCGGCAGGUCGCCACCGGCUUCCUCCGGCGGGGGCUCCGGGAUCUCAGGCGCCACGGCGCGCAGGGGGGUGACAAGCAAGGCCCCGGCCGCUGCGGCUGCAGCCUCCGCCUGAGCCUUGGCCGCCGCGUCGGCUUGUACCUUCACCGACUCCUCCGCCUCCUCCUGCGCCGCCUUGGCGACAGCCGCCCUCAGCUCUUCCGCGUCCCGCGCCUCCCGCGCAUUUCGCUCCGUCACCGCUUGAAGCUCGGCGCGGGGGUCCACGUGGCAGGUGCUCCCGGAUCCUCCCGGUGAUCCAACCACGGAGGCGGCAGCGACCCACUCAAGAGAAAGCAGAGCCCUGUUUUUUAAGUCAAGACAAGGAUUCAGAAACCGACAAGAAAAGAAGAAGGAAUACGCGAGAGAAUCGACACUUACGCUGAAACCUUUUGCGGCUGCUUCACCACCUUGCGGAAGCGGGCCGCCUCUUCCUGCCUGGUCGCCGCCGCCCCGCUCUUGGGCUUCUUCGGCCGACUGCCGAUAGGGCCAACACAGCCCGGCGCUUCUACGCGCCGCCUCGGGCAGCCGGCGUGGCAGAUGAGCCCGCGCCCUGAUCAGACGCCGGCUGGCGGCGCGGGACGAUUUCCGCCUCGUCGUCAUCCGGCCAGUCUUCGAAGCUGGCUCCAAGCCCGGAGCCGCCUGCUUCGCUGCCUCCCGCCUCGGUGUUGUCGUCCAUGGCGGCCGCUCCCAAGUCGGGGUCCUCCAAGUCGUGCGCCGCCCGGUCGGGGAGAAAUUGGCGAUCCGCCCCCGCUGACCCGGCAGCCGGUUGAAGGAGAGGGUUCUGCCAAGACGAGCCGACUGGUCAGAGUCGGCCAAGAAAAACUUGGUGAUAAAAAUAAAGAAGAGAAGAUUUAGAAAGCGUACCAUAGGCGGAGGAUUGGCGCGGGAGUAUGGCUCCUUGCCAAAUUGCCACUCCUCGAAGAGCUUGCAGUUAGCGAGAUAAUUCACCAUGUGAGCUACCUCAUCAUGAGGCAUCUCCUUGGUGAACAUCCGACUCGGAUCUAGUUGACCGCUCAUUUGACAGAUCAAAUGAGGGUGGCCUUGAAGUGGGAGCACCCGGCGCACCACGAAGGCGGCCAGCAGGUCGGACCCAGUCAGGCCCUCCGACUGGAUCAUUACCCGAAACCGGGCGACGGCGGCGGCCCCAUCCUACGUCAGUGUCCUGGCCCGAUAGGACCACUGGGGCCGCCUCCCAGCUGGCGGGCCGGCUACGUAAGCCGGCAAGUUGACGUAGUCGCCUUGCGGGGCGAUGUUCUUCACGUAGAAGUAUGACUUCUGCAAGAGCUUCACCGACUGGAUUAGUGUGAUGACAGGGAAGGGGUUGUCGGCUGCCGACCUCCGCAUCGCGAUGAAGGCGCCGCUCUGAGCCGGCACGCCCUGCAUCUGGGUGUCGAGCUUGGAUUGGAAGAAUUCCCCCUAGAGCUCGAGGGUGGAAAGAAUGCCAAGGAAGCCCUCGCACAGAGUGACGAAGGCAGACAGCAGCACCACCGUGUUUGGAGUGAGGUGGUGCGGCUGGAGCUGGUAGAAUUCAAGGAAGGAGCGGAAGAAGGCGCUAGCUGGCAGGCCGAGGCCGCGCAAGAAAUGCGAAUGGAAGAGUACCUGCUCACCUUCCUCCGGCGCCGGCGUGAUCUCCUUCUCCGGCGCGAGACGGACCUGCACCUGGUCCUUGCCGGGCAACUGCCGCGUCUUGCGGAGGAAGUCGAUGUGGUCCGCGUGGACGUUGGAGCCGUCCCAGUCUCCGCCGUGCUACAUGAUGGCAAGAAGCUGACGAGAAAGGGUGCGGCGGUGGAGAAACCACGGCCCCGCGGCGGCGAGGUUGCGGGGUAGUGCGAAGAUUGUUGGGAUGGCGCGGCGGCGAGAGAAGGAGGAAGAAGAUGGCGGAGUGAGGAUGAGCAUGCGAACGUCUGCCGCCCCCCUCCUCCCCCAACUUAUAGCCUCGUGCGGCGAAGCCGAGGAGGCGAGGCGUGGGGGGGAACGUGGGAUUAACUGCGCCCACUCCCCCACGUCCCGCGAUUAUAGCGCCCUAACGACGUGCAGAAACUUCCGUCGGAAGGCGAGCGGCCCGCUUUGGGCCACAGAAAAUCCGCGCCUGGGCCUAGGCGUGGAAGUGGUGGGCCCCGGCCUGCGGCGGCAUCCCGUCGCGCGCGUGGGCUGGCAGGCUUUUCUCGGCAGGAAGGUGCCACAUGGCGCGCGGGCGGCGAGCGGCCGGCCCGCAGCCCGGCGAGCGCACCGGCAGGCUCCCGCUUUCAGACUUCAAAAAAUUUCGCCAAGACGGCGCACCCAACCGAAGCCGGCUCCUAGCUGCUGGCUCUUCAAGAUAAGAAGCUGACCAAGCUUCUCAACCUCCUCUCAGCCUCGAAGCCCAACCAGCUUCGGGGACUACUGUCGGAGUAAAUGGCCACGGGUAGCCUAACCGACUCCCCCUGGCUCUUCAAAAAUUACCAGGCCAAUCGAGCCUUCAAGCAUCCAGAGCACAGGGCCGCCUUCCCCUGGCCGGCUAUCACCUAGGCCGACUAGCAGAAGGCGACCUGGCCUCAAAAACCUUCCCGAAGAGAACUACAAGAUGGCCGACUCCAGGAAGCCGACCCCAAGAGGACCGACUCCCAGAAGCCGUCCAUGAAGAAGUCCGACUCCCAGAAGCCGGCCAAGACUGCACCCUCAAGGGCUACACCCACAUAACGGUGAUGAGACGGGGCGUGGCUACAGUACAACCUGCCACCCCCCGAAUCCCGGAGCACGCGUGGCCACAGUACGCCGUACGGGUCGGCCAUCCCCUGUCCGGCGCGACACUGUUGCCAUGUUGACCAUGACACCACCCACGACACGCGCUAGUACGGCCAGCGGGUGGCGGGCCCCUUCAGCCAGAGAGAUGCUCAAAGGCGGCCAGGAAUCCCCCAGUCGGCCUGGGGCGUAGCCGGCUCCCAACAGCCGGCUAUUCCCCAUCCUCGAAGUAUGUGCAUCAUUAAGGAGACAAGACGAGGUAAGGCUACAGUGAGAGCCCGCAAGGCGGCGACACUGUGGCCAUGCUUACCUCGACAAAGCCCUCGUCAUCAGAGGCAAGGCUACAGUAACCAGCCACCGACAAGACCCCUAGGUGGUGGGGCCGGCCUGUCGGCCAUGAGGCCGGCAGCCGACGGGACCCACCAGUCGGCGGGCCCCAGCGGUUGGCGGAGAAGCCGGCGAAUACGGACACUGACGGCUAGGACCCGCGUCCAGCCGGAUUACCAUUGUACCCCUGGGGGGUAGGCCUAUAUAAACCCCCAGGGCACCCAUGCAAAGGAUUGAUCUGAUAUAGUUUUAGACACCACGUAGAGAGAAAAGGAGAGCUAGCCUUGCCCUUCUUCUUCCUCUAGCCAAACAGCUCACGGAGCCUCUUGUAGCUACUUGUGUUGAUCUAGUGAUCAUGCGGAGACCCCGCAGAGCAGGAUUAGGGGUGUUAUCUCCUCGGAGAGCCCCGAACCUAGGUAAGAUUCACCGGCAUGCAUGCCUUCGCCUUAUCCCGUUUCCAGGCACCGACGAUGUCUUACUGGCUCCCACAAUGAUAAGCCACCCGUUGGCAUAUGUCGCACCUACCACCCGACAAUUUGUGAGUAGUUACUUUUGUUCUUGAGGUCACGGGAGAAUCAUGUUGCAAGUAAUCAUGUGAACUUGAUAUGUGUUUGAUAUUUUGAUAGUAUGUAUGUUGUGAUUCCCUUAGUGGUGUCAUGUGAACAUCAAAUACAUGACACUUCACCUUAUUAGAGCCUAAGGGAAUGCAUUGUGGAGUAGUUAUUAGAUUAUGGGUUGCGAGAGUGACAGAAGCUUAAACCCUAGUUUAUGCGCUAUUCCGUAAGGGACCGAUUGGAUCCAAAAGUUUAAUGCUAUGGUUAGAAUAUAUUCUUAAUACUUUUCUCAUAGUUGCGGAUGCUUGCGAGGGGGUUAAUCAUAAGUAGAAGGUUUGUUCAAGUAAGAACAACACCUAAGCACCGGUCCACCCACAUGUCAAAUUAUCAAAGUAGCGAACACAAAUCGAAUCAACAUGGCGAAAGUGACUAGAUGAAAUUCCCGUGUACCCUCUAGAACGAUUUGCUUACUAUAAGAUACCGUUUUGGCCUGUCCUUUGCCUCAAAAGGAUUGGGCUACCUUGCUGCACUUUUGUUACUACUAUCAUUACUUGCUCGUUACAAAUUAUUUUGCUAUCAAACUACUCUGUUACUUACAAUUUCAGCACUUGCAGAUAUUACCUUGCUGAAAACCACUUGUUAUUUCCUUCUACUCCUCGUUGGGUUCGACACUCUUACUUAUCGAAAAGAGCUACAAUUGAUCCCCUAUACUUGUGGGUCAUUAAGGCUAUUUUCUGGCGCCCUUGCCGGGGAGUGAAGCGCCUUUGGUAAGUGGAAUUUUGUAAGGAAACAUUUAUAUAGUGUGCUGAAAUUUAUUGUCACUUGUUACUAUGGAAAAUAAUCCUUUGAGGGGCUUGUUCGGGGUAUCUUCACCUUGACCGGAACCACAAUUAGCUACCCCUCAACCUACUGCACCUACUGAAAAUAUUGAAUAUGAAAUUCCUUCGGGUAUGAUAGAACAACUGCUAGCUAAUCCUAAUGCAGGAGACUGAACCGAACAUCCUGAUAUGCACUUGAUAUAUGUGGAACAAAUUUGUGGAUUGUUUAAGCGUGUAGGUUUACUCGGAGAUGAAGUUAUGAAAAAGGUUUCCCUUUAUCUUUGAAGGUAAAAGCAUUGGCAUGGUAUAGGCUAUGCGAUGAUAUCGGAUCUUGGAAUGGGAAUCGAUUGAAAUUGGAGUUCCACCAAAAAAUUUAUCCUAUGCAUCUAGUUCAUCGUGAUCGGAAUUAUAUAUAUAAUUUUUGGCCUUGUGAAGGAGAAAGUAUCGCUCUAGCUUGGGGGAGGCUUAAGUCAAUGUUAUAUUCAUCCCCCAAUCUUGAGCUCUCAAAAGAAAUUAUUAUUCGGAAUUUUUAUGCUCGGCUUUCUCGUGAUGAUCAAUCCAUGCUUGGUACUUCUUGUACUGAUUCUUUUAUGAAGAAGACUAUUGAAUUCCGGUGGGAUCUUUUGGCAAGAAUUAAACGAAACUCUGAAGAUUGGGAACUCGAUGAAGGUAAAGAGUCAGGUAUUAAGCUUAAGUAUGAUUGUGUUAAGUCUUUUAUGAAUACCGAUGCUUUUCAAAAGUUUAGCGCUAAAUAUGGACUUGACUCUAAGAUAGUAGCCUCCUUUUGUGAAUCAUUUGCUACUCAUGUUGAUCUCCCUAAAGAGAAGUGGUUUAAAUAUCACCCACCUAUUAAAGAAGAAAUUAAAGAACCGGUACCAGUUAAAGAAGAAGCUAUACUUUAUAAUGUUGAUCCAGUUGUUCCUACUGCUUAUAUUGAGAAACCACCUUUCCCUGUUAGGAUAAAGGAACAUGCUAAAGUUUCAACUGUGGAUAACAAAAGUUAUAUUAGAACACCCAAACCUGAUGAAGAAAUCAAAGUAGAGCCUACUGUUGCUAUGGUUAAAGAUCUCUUGGAAGAAGAUAUAGAUGGGCAUGUUAUUUUUCGGUAAUGAAGCUACUAGAAUUGUCAAACCCGAUAAAAAAGAUAAUCAUAGACCCGUUGUUGGCAUGCCCGUUGUCUCAGUUAAAAUAGGAGAUCACUGUUAUCAUGGUUUAUGCGACAUAGGUGCUAGCGUAAGUGCUAUUCCUUACACCUUAUAUCAAGAAAUUAUGAAUGAUAUAGCACCCGCAGAGUUAGAAGACAUAGAUGUUACUAUUAAACUUGCUAAUAGAGACACUAUUUCACCAAUUGGGAUUGUUAGAGAUGUUGAAGUCUUGUGUGGGAAAAUAAAAUACCCUACUGAUUUUCUUGUUCCUGGUUCCCCACAAGAUGACUUUUGUCCCAUUAUCUUUGGUAGACCUUUCUUGAACACCGUUAAUGCUAAAAUAGAUUGUGAGAAACAAACUGUCGGUGUUAGUUUUGGUGAUGAGUCUCAUGAGAUUAAUUUUUCCAAGUUUAGUAGAAAGCUUCAUGAAAAAGAAUUGCCUAGUAAGGAUGAAAUAAUUGGUCUUGCUUCUAUUGCUGUGCCUCCGACUGAUCCACUAGAACAAUAUUUGCUAGACCAUGAAAAUGAUUUACUUAUGCAUGAAAGAAAUGAAAUAGAUAAGAUUUUAUUUGAACAACGUCCUCUGCUUAAACACAAUUUGUCUAUUGAAACUCUAGGAGGUCCCCCUCCAUCUAAAGGUGAUCCCGUGUUUGAAUUAAAACAAUUGACAGACACUUUGAAAUAUGCUUAUCUUGAUGAAAAGAAGAUAUAUCCUGUUAUUAUUAGUGCUAACCUUUCAGAACAUGAAGAAGAAAGAUUAUUGAAAGUUCUAAGGAAGCACCGAGCUGCUAUUGGAUAUACCCUUGAUGAUUUAAAGGGGAUUAGUCCUACUCUAUGUCAGCACAAGAUUAAUAUGGAACCUGAUGCUAAACCCGUUGUUGAUCAUUAACGCCGAUUAAAUCCGAAGAUGAAAGAAGUGGUAAGAACAGAAAUAUUAAAACUUCUGGAAGGAGGUAUAAUCUAUCCUAUAGCUGAUAGUAGAUGGGUAAGUCCCGUUCAUUGUUUUCCUAAGAAAGGAGGUAUUACUGUUAUUCCUAAUGAUAAGAAUGAACUUAUUCCACAAAGAAUUGUUACAGGCUAUAGAAUGGUAAUUGAUUUUAGGAAAUUAAACAAAGCAACUAGAAAAGUUCAUUACCCCCUGCCUUUUAUUGAUCAAAUGCUAGAAAGAUUGUUAAAGCACACACACUUUUGCUUUCUUGAUGGAUAUUUUGGUUUUUCACAAAUACCUGUUUCUCAACCUGAUCAAGAAAAGACCACUUUCACUUGUCCCUUUGGAACUUAUGCUUAUAGACGUAUGCCUUUCGGUUUAUGCAAUGCACCUGCUACCUUUCAAAGAUGUAUGACUGCUAUAUUCUCUGACUUUUGUGAGAAGAGUGUCGAGGUUUUCAUGGAUUACUUUUCCGUUUAUGGGAAGUCUUUUGAUGAUUGUUUAAGCAAUCUUGAUCGAGUUUUGCAGAGAUGCGAGCAAACAAAUCUUGUCUUGAAUUGGGAAAAGUGCCACUUUAUGGUUAAUGAAGGUAUUGUUUUGGGCCAUAAAUUUCUGAAAGAGGUAUUGAAGUGGACAAAGCUAAGGUUGAUGCAAUUGAGAAAAUUCCAUGUCCUAAAGAUAUCAAAGGUAUUCGUACUUUCCUAGGUCAUGCUGGUUUCUAUAGGAGAUUUAUCAAAGACUUCUCUAAAAUUUCUAGGCCUCUUACAAAUCUUUUGCAAAAGGAUGUUCCUUUUGUUUUUGAUGAUGAUUGUUUAGAAGCCUUCGAAACACUCAGGAAAGCCUUAAUUUCUGCACCUCUUUUUCAACCACCUGAUCGGAACUUGUCUUUUGAAAUUAUGUGUGAUGCUAGUGAUUAUGCUGUUGGUGCUGUUCUAGGACAAAGAUUUGAUAAGAAACUGAAUGUUAUUCAUUAUGCUAGUAAAACUCUAGACAAUGCUCAAAGAAAUUAUGCUACUACUGAAAAAGAAUUUCUAGCAGUGGUGUUUGCUUGUGAUAAAUUUGGAUCUUACAUUGUUGACUCCAAAGUUAUUGUUCACACCGAUCAUGUUGCUAUUAAAUAUCUUAUGGAAAAGAAAGAUGCUAUACCUAGACUUAUUCGAUGGGUUCUCUUGCUACAAGAAUUUGAUUUACAUAUUACUGAUGGAAAAGGAACUAAGAACCCAGUAGCUGAUAACUUGUCUAGGCUUGAAAAUGUGCUUGAUGACCCACUACCUAUUGAUGAUAGUUUUCCUGAUGAGUGAUACGUCACCAACGUAUCUAUAAUUUAUGAAGUAUUCAUGCUAUUAUUUUAUCAUUAUUGGAUGUUUUACAAUCAUUUUAUUGCAAAUUUAUAUCAUUCUUUGGGACUAACCUAUUGACCCAGUGCCCAGUGCCAGUUGCUAUUUUUUGCUUGUUUUUUACAUUGCAAGAAAUCAAUAUCAAACGGAGUCCAAACACCGCAAAACUUUUUGGAGAUUUUUUUGGGCCAGAAGACAUCCAUUGGGCCAAAGAAGCACCUGGGGGGGGGGGUGCCCCGAGGGGGGCACAACCCACAAGGGCGCGCCAAGCCCCCCUGGCGCCCCCAGGUGGGUUGUGCCCACCUCGGUGGCCUCCCGCACCCCUUCUUUGCACUAUAAAUUCCAAAAUAUUUUGAAACCCAUCGGGGUUACCCUAGAUCAGAAGUUCUGCCACCGCAAGGUCCUGUAUCCGCGAAAACCAAUCUAGACCUCGUUCCGGCACCCUGCCGGAGGGGGGAAUCAUCUCCGAUGGCCAUCUUCAUCAACCCGGCGGCCACCACGUGAGGAGGGAGUAGUCCACCCUCGGGGCUGAGGGUUUGUACCAGUAGCUAUGUGUUUAAUCUCUCUCUCUCUCGUGAUCUAUAUCAUGGGCUUUGUUAAUAUAGUCGGAUCAUAUGAUGUUUCUAGCCUCUAUACUCUUGUUAUGAUGAAUUGAAUCUCUACCCUUCAAAGUUUUGUCUUGUCGGAUUGAAUAUUCAGAGAUGAGAACACAUGAUAUAUGUCUUGCAAUAUGAAUAAUUGAGGUGACAAUGGGGUAUCAUAUUUAUUCACUUGAUGUAUGUUAUGGCACUCAACUUGCGGAUUCCCGAGGUGACAUUGGGGUAAUCUAUGCAUAGGGGUUGAUGCACGUUUUUAUUAUCUUUUCUCCGAUAGAAACUUUGGGGUCUCUUUGUAGUUCUUUGUGUGGAUUGAGUAUUAUGAACAUGAAUUUGCUUUGGUGUUAUUUUAGUACGAACUCUUGAUUAGAUCGAUCAGAAAUAAUAGCUUGCGUUAUUUUAGUACAAACUAUAGGAUAGAUUGAUCGAAAAGAAUAGCUUUGAAGUGGUUUUGUACCCUACAAACAAUUUCUAUCUUUUGUUCUCCGCUAAUAGGAACUCUAGAGUGAUUCUUUAUUGCACUUUGAGGGAUAAUCAUAUGAUCCAACUAUGUUAGCACUGUUGAGAGGUUGCACUAGUGAAAGCACAGAUCCUAGGCCUUGUUUUCAAGCAUUGCAAUACCAUUUUUGUGCUCAUUUACUAUUUGCUACCUUGUUGUUUUUAUUUAUUCAGAUUUAAAAAUAUAUUUAUACCAUCAAUAUUACACUUUUAUCACCAUCUCUUCGCCGAACUAGUGCACCUAUACAAUUUACCAUUGUAUUGGGUGUGUUGGGGACACAAGAGAUUUCUUGUAUUUGGUUGCAGGGUCGUUUGAGAGAGACCAUCUUCAUCCUACGCCUCCCAUGGAUUGAUAAACCUUAGGUCAUCCACUUGAGGGAAAAUUGCUACUGUCCUACAAAACUCUGCGCUUGGAGGCCCAACACAUGUCUACAUGAAUAAAGUUGCAUAGUAGACAUCAAGCUCUUUUCUGGCGCCGUUGCCGGGGAGGUGAGUGCUUGAAGGUAUAUCUUUAGAUCUUGCAAUUGAAUCUUUUAGUUUCUUGUUUCAUCACUAGUUUGGUGUAUAAAAGAAAACUACAAAAAAAUGGAAUUUAGGUUGCAUCAUAUUAUUGAUCCUCUUUAUAAUAUCUUUCUUGAAAACGAUGCAUCGGAAAAUUGUGCUCAAUUGUUAGAAGAAGAAGUCAAUAAAAUGCUUGGCACAAAAUAUUUGGAUGAUUAGCAUGAUUGCAAUGUUAUUAGUAUGAAUUAUUUGAAUAUCCAAAAUGCUAAUGAUGAUUGCACAAGUCAUGACAAAAAUGUUUCUUAUAAGCAUGUCACUUUUUGUGGAGUGAAUUGGGAGUGCCUUUGCACACCAAAAAGGGGAGAUAUAUUUUGUAAGAAGCAUACAUAUUUAGAAACAAAAAUGUUGCAAGAGAGGUUAGAUGAUUGUGCUGAAAGAUGUAGUUUUUUGGCCAUCCUUGUGAACUUUGCAUCUCUUUAUGAUGGUAAUUUAAAUCUUCAAUGCAGAUUCUUUCAUGAUCAAAUAGUGUCCAAAAAUUAUGAUAACUUGAUUACCCUUGAGCAUCAUAAAGAGCUUAGUCUUCUUUUGGGGUAUGAAGAAAUUAAAUGUAUAACUAAGGAUUUUCCAAAUCCUAAGAGAUUUCUUGAUUUUGAUCUAGAAGAAAUUUAUAUGUUUUGUGCGGUAAAUUGCAUUGAGAAUCCUUAUAUUGCCAACUACCUAAAGACAAGAAAACAAAUGGAAUAUGAAGAGAGUACUAAUGAAAGGGGAAGUAUUUCCCAAUACCUUCCUAGUGUUUCUUAUGAUGAAUCAGGUAACAUGGAGGAACUUCCUAUCCAAUCAAUCUCUUCAACAAGGAGCUCGAAAAAAUUAAUUGAACCCAUACAUGAUGUGGUGAAGAAGAUGAAAAGAAGAAAGAAGAGAGGUAAAAAGGUAUCUCUCCCGAAUAAUGUUGCUCCUAUUAUUGUUGUACCUCAUGAAAAUGAAUCAAAAAUAAUUGUGGAAGAUGAUGUACUUGAUGAUGAUAUUGCUUCUAUGUCUUACGGCACAAUGACCGAGAGCACUUUUGAUGAUGAUUUUACUAUGCCUAUUGCUUGUUUUGAUGAUUAUGAUUGGGAAUAUAAUGAUACUUCUUAUAAUCUUGGAAAUCUUUUUGGAACCAACUUGGGAAAUUAUGAUGAUAGCAAUUGUUAUACCGUUGGUGCUAUUCAUACUAUUAAUGAUGAGAGUGAUUAUGCUUAUGAUAUGCCAAGCCACAAGCUUGGGAUGCUUUGUUUGAUGAUAAUGACAUGUUUGAUUAUGAUGACAUGUUUGAUUAUGCUUAUGAUUUGCUGCAAUUAAUGUUUGUCCCAAGCUUGGGGAGGCUAUGCUUAAUGAAGAUGAUCUUUUUAGUUCACUUACUUUGAAUGAUCAAAUUUGCUAUGAUGAUUGCAUGCCUCCUACUUAUGAUGAUUAUUGUGAUGAUACUUAUGUGAUUAAAAGUUGUGAUAAUUAUUGUCAUGAUUUUGAUUAUACCUUUGCUGAACAUUACUCUUUUAAUGUGGAAACAAUUUAUAGUAUUCGAGCUUCCUAUGAUACUCCCACUAUUAUGAAUGAGAAUAGAAUUGCUUAUAUGGAGAGUAAUAAAUUUUCUAUGCUUGUGGAUCAUGAAAAGAAUGUUUUAUGUGAUGGUUAUAUUGAUGAAUCUAUUCAUGAUGCUACUGAAAAUUAUUAUGAGAGAGGAACUUAUGCUUCAUGAUGCUCUUGUUAUGUUUCAAUUCUUAUCUUUUAUGCGAGCAUCAUUGAAAUCAUCAUGCCUAGCUUAAAAGGCAUUAAAGAAAAGCGCUUGUUGGGAGACAACCCAACACUUUUACCUACUGUUUUUGUGUGUUCACAUGAUUAUUCUACUGUAUUGAUCAUGUUUUAUUGCUUUGUUUCAAUAAAGUGCCAAGUAAAGCCUUUGGGAUCAUGUUGGGUGAUAGUUGAGUUGAUCUUGCUGAAAAACAGAAACUUAUGCGCUCACAAAAAAAAUCUAGUUUAUAACAGAAGAGUGAUUUUGAGUUGAUUCUUUUUGCAGAAGAUUAACAUACAAAUUUCUCACGUAUUCUAAAUUUUUCAGAGUUUUUGGAAUAGCAGAAGUAUGGUUAUUCUACAGAUCAUUACAGACUGUUCUAUUUUUGACAGAUUCUGUUUUCAAUGCAUAGUUUGCUUGCUUUCUAGUUUCUAUGGCUUAUAUUGCUCAAUAUAAAUUGUGGAAAUAAUAUGCCAAAGUAGGCAUUGUGUGAGAACAAUUAUGAAUCUUGUCUUUGACAGUACCAAAGUGAAAUGGUUUGCUCUUUACCAUACUAACCUAUCUCACAAAGUUCCGUCAAGUUUUGUGUGAUUGAAGUUUUCAAGUUUUGGGUGAGAUAUCGAUAUGAGGAGAAUAAGGAGUGACAAGACCCUAUGCUUGGGGAUGCAGAAGGCACCCCCAAGGUAAUAUUCAAGGAAGAUCCAAGCAACUAAGCUUGGGGAUGCCCCGGAAGGCAUCCCCUCUUUCGUCUCCAACAGUAUCGUUAACCUCACUUGGAGCUAUGUAUUCAUUCGUCACAUGGUAUGUGUUUUACUUGGAGCAUCAAUUUAUUUUUUUAUUAUUUGCUUGAUGUUAUAUAAAAUAUUGUUUUGCAUCUUUUAUUUCAAUAAAAAUGUCAAGGAUAGCCUUUACCACGCUUAUUUUACAAGUCUACAUGUUGCUGUUUGAAAACAGAAAGUUUACCGCUGUUGCAAAAAUUCCCUAGAAAAGUCAGAAUGUGAUAAAAUGUUGAAACUUUUUGCAUAUUAAGCUCUGAUAAAUUUUCUACAGUGUGGUAAAAUUUUCAUAAUUUUUGGAGUUAGGGAAGUUUGAUGAAUCUUGCAUUCUUUACAGACUGUACUGUUUUGGCAGAUUGCUGUUAUGUUUGCAUUGUUUGCAUAUGUUUGCUUGUUUAAUGAUUCUAUUUGAGGAUAGGAGUAUUAAAUAUGCAGAGGCAUUUAGUAUGCGAUGUUGAAUAAUAAUUUUAGUGAUUUGCUACAGUAGAUAAAUGAUAAGGUUUUUGCAUUAGUUUAUACUAACUUAUCUCACGAGUUCUUGUUGAGUUUUGUGUGGGUGAAGCUUUUGAGAUUUAGGAAAACCGUGAUAUGAAAGGAAUUAAGGAGACACAAAAGCUCAAGCUUGAGAAUGCCCAAGGCAUCCCAAGAUAAUAUUUCAAGAAGUCUCAAGCAUCUAAGCUUGGGGAUGCCCCAGUAGACAUCCCACCUUUCUUCUUCAACAAUUAUCGGUUAGUAUCGGUUGAACCUAAGUUUUUGCUUCUUCACAUGAUGUGUGCUAUUCUUGGAAUGUCAUUUUGUUUUGUUUUUGCUUGCUGUUUUAAUAAAAUGUUUAGAUCUAUACGUUUUUGAAUAAGAGAGAGCCCUCAAAUAGCUACCUAUUUGCUUAACUACUCGCAUGAUCUUCACUUAUAUCUUUUUGGAGUAGUUUGUCAUUUACUCUUGUGCUUCACUUAUAUCCUAUGAGUAAAUUGUUGAAUAAGUUGAAUGUUAUGAAGUUGAAAUUAUAUCAUGCCUAGUGAUAGCUUCAUGUUGGGUUUAGAAAAUGAAAUCUUUUGAGGCUUGACAAUCACAAUAUUGGUCAUACAAGCAUGUGACGCCCCCGAUUCAAUCGUACACUAAUCAUACACGCAAACGUGUACGAUCAAGAUCAGGGACUCACGGGAAGAUAUCACAACACAACUCUAAAAAUAAAAUAAGUCAUACAAGCAUCAUAAUACAAUCCAGGGGCCUCGAGGGCUCGAAUACAAGUGCUCGAUCAUAGAUGAGUCAGCGGAAGCAACAAUAUCUGAGUACAGACAUAAGUAAACAAGUUGCCAUAAGAUGGCUAGCACAAACUGGGAUACAGAUCGAAAGAGGCGCAGGCCUCCUACCCGGGAUCCUCCUAAACUACUCCCUGUCGGCGCCAGCGGCCUACACGUAGUAGUAGGCACCUCCGGUGUAGUAGGAGUCGUCGUCGACGGUGGCGUCUGGCUCCUGGGCUCCAGCAUCUGGUUGUGACAACCAGGUAGAAGGGAAAGGGGAAAAGAGGGAGAAAAGCAACCGUGAGUACUCAUCCAAAGUACUCGCAAGCAAGGAUCUACACUACAUAUGCAUGGGUAUAUGUGUAAAGGGGCCAUAUCGAUGGAUUGGACUGCAGAAUGCCGGAAUAAGAGGGGGAUAGCUAGUCCUGUCGAAGACUACGCUUCUGGCAGCCUCCAUCUUGCAGCAUGUAUAAGAGAGUAGAUGGUAAGUUCACCAAGUAUCAUCGUAUAGCAUAAUCCUACCCGGCGAUCCCCUCCUCGUCGCCCUGUUAGAGAGCGAUCACCGGGUUAUAUCUGGCACUUGGAAGGGUGUGUUUUAUUAAGUAUCCAGUUCUAGUUGUCAUAAGGUCAAGGUACAACUCCAAGUCGUCCUGUUACCGAAGAUCACGACUAUUCGAAUAGAUAAACUUCCCUGCAGGGGUGCACCACAUAACCCAACACGCUCGAUCCCAUUUGGCCGGACACACUUUCCUGGGUCAUGCCUGGCCUCAGAAGAUCAACACGUCGCAGCCCCACCUAGGCACAACAGAGAGGUCAGCACGCCGGUCUAAAUCCUAUGGCGCAGGGGUCUGGGCCCAUCGCCCAUUGCACACCUGCAUGUUGCGAGGGCGGCCGGAAGCAGACCUAGCCUAGAAGGCGUUCCAGUCCAAUCCGGCGCGCGCCGCUCAGUCGCUGACGUCACGAAGGCUUCGGCUGAUACCAUGACGUCGAGUGCCCAUAAUUGUUCCCGCGUAGUUGGUUAGUGCGUAUAGACCAAAUGGCCAGACUCAGAUCAAAUACCAAGAACUCGUUAAGCGUGUUAUUUUGAAGUAACCACGGACGCCGACCAGGGCCAGGCCCACCUCUCUCCUAGGUGGUCUCAACCUGCCCUGUCGCUCCGCCACAAAGUAACAGUCGGGGGCCGUUGGGAACCCAGGCCCACCUCUACCGGGAUGGAGCCACCUGCCCCUUCAGCCCCCAUCUCCGAACAGUAUCAUAAGUAAUGUAACAGUAUAAAGUAUAUAGCAUAUGCCCGUGAUCACCUCCCGAAGUGAUCACGGCCCAGUAGUAUAGCAUGGUAGACGGACAAGAGUGUAGGGCCAUUGAUGGAAUACUAGCAUCCUAUUCUAAGCAUUUAGGAUUGCAGGUAAGGGUAACAACUGUAGCAACAAUGACAGGCUAUGCAGUAGAAUAGGAUUAACGGAAAGCAGUAACAUGCUACACUACUCUAAUGCAAGCAGUAUAGAGAAGAAUAGGCGAUAUCUGGUGAUCAAGGGGGGGCUUGCCUGGUUGCUCUGGCAAGAAGGAGGGGUCGUCAACACCAUAGUCGUACUGGGUAGCAGCGGCGUCGGUCUCGGGGUCUACCGGAGAAGAAAAGGGGGAAGAAACAGUAAAUAAGGAGCAAACAAAGCAUCACAAAACAUAAUGAGGCAAUACGCGGUGCUAGGUACGCCCUAGCGUGGUACUAGGCGAUGCCGGCGAAGGGGGGAAACAUCCGGGAAAGUAUUCCCGGUGUUUCACGUUUUUGGACAGAUGAACCGGAGGGGGAAAGUUGCGAGUUUUCUAUGCUAGGGAUGUGUGACAGACGAACGGGCUACGUAUCCGGAUUCGUCUCGUCGUUCUGAGCAACUUUCAUGUACAAAGUUUUUUCAUCUGAGCUACCGAUUAUUUUAUAUCUUUUUUCAAAGUUUCUAAAAGAUUUUUAAUUUCUGGAUUUAGUUUAAUUCGAAAUUAAGUUAGUAUGUAAAUGCUAUGGGUACACAGAAAGUGUACCCAGAAGUGUGCACCUGAGGCUGACAGGUGGGGACAGUUGACUAAGUCAUCUGCCCAGUCAGUAGAAGCUGACAGGUGGGGCAGGGGGUGCUGACUCAGCGGUCAAUAGGUCAACAUUGACCAGUCAAACUGGCAGGUGGGGACCACCCGUCAGUGACACAUGUAUUUAGCAGGUAUUUAUUUUAAAUUUUCUCUAAUUAGUUGGCCGGGCCCACAUGUCAUACUCCAGUUUAUUAAUACAUUUGUUUUGAAAGCAGGGUUAGUUUAGCGGGUGGGCCCCUGACGUCAGUGAAUGUUUAAGGCAGAUUAGUGACUAACGACAGCCACAUCACUGUAUUAGCACCGGCGAUGAGCUGCAGAACGGUAGCGGCAUAGGAGCUCGCUGGAAACGGCGUACGAGGAGCCGUUCACGGCGCGGAUGGUUCCAUUCGAACACCUACGCGACGGCGUAUCACAUGGUGGUGGUGGCACAGCCGGGGGUGGUCGGUGUCGACCGAUAUGACGGCGGCCGACGGCAACAGAAGGCGGGCGAGACAGGAAGCAGUGGGCCAAGGUAUGCGCGCGUGAGCGAGGCCCAACGUGGCUGAGUGCGUGCGCGCGAGGCAGGACGCGGGGUAGUGGCCGGGCGCGGAUGCGGAGCAGCAGCGGUCAGUGCGGGAGCGAGGCAAGCGGCGCUGCCGUGCGGGGUGGCGUGGCCAGGGAAGGCGGGCGCGCGGCGCAGUCUUCGCGGGGGCGAGGUAGCGGAGAGGGGAAGAGGUGGCCGAGGGCCUCACCGCGGGCCGUAGGGGAAUGGCAGCGAUUGUCGGGGAGGAAGACGGGGACGACGUGCGACGGGGCGGCGCCGGUGCGGUGGCUCCAGAGACGGCGAUUGGUGAUGGGGCGCAGCGUGGCUUGGGGAGGCUGUCGAGGAGGAGGUCAAGGAGGUCCGGCGUGGGGAGGAGACGGGGAGGCGACGACGAAGACGAGCGACGCCGGCGACGAGNNNNNNNNNNNNNNNNNNNNNNNNNNNNNNNNNNNNNNNNNNNNNNNNNNNNNNNNNNNNNNNNNNNNNNNNNNNNNNNNNNNNNNNNNNNNNNNNNNNNNNNNNNNNNNNNNNNNNNNNNNNNNNNNNNNNNNNNNNNNNNNNNNNNNNNNNNNNNNNNNNNNNNNNNNNNNNNNNNNNNNNNNNNNNNNNNNNNNNNNNNNNNNNNNNNNNNNNNNNNNNNNNNNNNNNNNNNNNNNNNNNNNNNNNNNNNNNNNNNNNNNNNNNNNNNNNNNNNNNNNNNNNNNNNNNNNNNNNNNNNNNNNNNNNNNNNNNNNNNNNNNNNNNNNNNNNNNNNNNNNNNNNNNNNNNNNNNNNNNNNNNNNNNNGGGGAGAGGAGAGACGUGGGGAGUGGGGGGGGGGAAGUGUGCGGUCGUGGGGGGUUAGGGUUUCCCCCUGGUGGGGAUAGGGUGGGGGGUUGGGCCGGUUGGUGGGCUGGCCGGCUGGGCCGUCUGGCCUAGUUGGCCAGGGGGGUUCUUUUCUUUUAUUUUUGCUUUCUGUUUGUUCCUUUUCCUUUUAUUUAUAUUAACUUUUCUGUUAUAGUUUUGUUUCCUAUUAUUUUAGUUUUAGUAAAAUAUACACUUAGUAUCUAAAUUAGUAUUUCAACUUAGUCCAUAGUCAAAAAGUCUAGUCCUCAAAUAAAUUAGUUUGACAUUUUACUAAUUAUAAAAGGUAUUUAAAUAUUUGUUUUGUUGUUGUUUUAUUCAUCUCAUAGUACUUAAAUAUUUUAUAAAGGUGUGGUUUCUCCACCAUAAUUAUCUAUGCAAUAUUUGGUUCACUCCGAACAUUUUACUUUUAAUUUUUGAAAACCUUUACCAUUUGACUUGAUUUUUGAAUUUGAAUUUGAAUCGAUGCCGAAUCAACGCGGGUUUAUCAACAGUAACCGAGGUGACGUGGCAUCAUUAGCGUGGGAUUACUGUAGCUUAAUUAUCCGGGCGUCACAAUUCUCCUCCACUACAAGAAAUCUCGUCUCGAGAUUUAAGAGGUAGAGUAAGGGGAAAGAUGUGGCUACGAAAUUCUAUCGAGUCUUCUCGGUCUUGGUUGCUCUUCUCGAAGAGGUCGAUCCAUUACAUUGAUGUCUUCAUUCCACUACUUCAGGUCAUCAUUAUGAAGUCGUCAUCCUUUCUUCGGGGGUUCCUUCGUACUUACGAAUAAGUAAGGGGUAGCUCGGCUACGACAUAAUGCUUAGGAGGGAAACAAUCUGGGGUUAACCCAUGAAUGAGCAUAAGAUUAUCUCUCAAGUUGAACAUAUAAAAUACAUCGAGAGUAAGGUACGAAGGUACAAUAAGAGGUUCCAAGCAGAUAGAUAGUUGCUCGAAGUCUGAACCAGAGUGAGAAAGGGGUUUCAGAGCAGCGAGAGUAAGUAUUGCGUCUGAUACCAGAAUAGAUCACUUGGCAUGUGGCCCAUGAAUUACAUAAGAAGUCAAGCACGAGGAAUAACUUUGACAACAGGGUGUACAUGAGAGUCAGGUUUCGAUCCUGGGACCUGGGGUUACGGGCCCACCAUGCAGGUUAAAAUUAGAAAAGGCGCUAACUUCUUGCACGGUCAGGAUGGCAGUGUAUGUCAGAGGCUAGCCCGUCAGCCAUGUUGGCAACAAUCGUUGGUACUAAGGGCGAGGGACGAAGAAAACCAUUUUCCUGCUCGUUGAACGAGGCGGACCAAUAGGCAAAGUUCUCGUCCAUCGGUGGUUACCGGAAUGUCAUCAACAAAAGUAACAGGGUCUUACUGACAGAGUGGUACAACGAGGUGUUUAUAUAAGCAAGGAAAUAUUACUGCUUAUAUAAUAUAGAUCACAAGAAGGUUUAAACAAACCAAUGGAAACGAAAAGUGAUUAUCAGGUUUAAACAGAACAAUGGAAAGGAAAAUGUGUAUACACACAUAUCUCAGGGGUAUAUCCUUCCCAAGGACAAGCAGAGCAUGAUAUCCUUGGCAGGAUAUAAUGUAGAAAACUCUUUAGGAAAGGGGAGAGAAAUUUCAUGACAUUAUCCAUGCAACGGUGUUUGGAUAAUUGAGCAAGUAACAUUUAGCAUUGGGCUUCAAAUGUUCUUGUUGAAAAUCGGAGCACCACAGACAUGCUUCGAGAUAGCAUUGACAAGGUCUUCAAGCAAAGGUCAGACUUUGGAUACACAAAGGAUCCAUCAGGAUAAACUUAUUAAACAAGGCAUUCAAUUUCCUCACGGAAAAAAUGGUUAACCUUGUUAAGAAGGAAACUAUAACAAAAGGUCCUCUGGCUAGGGGUGCUAAGCAAAGACACCACCUUACCAGGUUAUGUAGAGACCAAUGUUAUAACUCUUGGAAAUAUGUCCCAACCAUCAUAUCUGACCGAGAUUCAGAUCUGAUUGGUCUCAGGAUACCUCAGACAUCAGGAUGCCUGAGAAGAAAAGGUGCAACACAAUUUGACGAGAUGACAUUGUGAGAUUCUCGGAAAUGAUCUAGGGAAGCGAGUUCUGAAACAAGAGUUUGUCAUUAAACCAAGGAGAGGAUGAGGAGGUGGCUGAUGGACUCAGCGACCAUUCAUUGAGAUUUCCAAAAAGAUGGAUUUCCACAAUUAUGAGAACAAGGAGAUAAGAUUUGUCAGAUCAAGUGAUAUAAUGAGGUAUGCUCGAGGAAAACAUACACAAUUAAACAUUGGUUGAAAGGUGCGCCCGAAAUAUGGGUUGGGUUGCACGACCAAUGUUAGAAUGGUGAUUCAAUAAUCAAUUGUCUAAGAAUGAAUGGCCGACCAUUGACUUCAAAGCAAUAGGGUUGCUAGAAGGGCAGAAUCUAAACAGCACUGUUCACUUGUUGGUACCCCGGUUCGAAUCAACACGAGGACCAAGAAAGAAUGGUGAUGGUGAGAAGUAUCACUGUACCAAGAAUUCUUAAGAGGUGGAGUAAUCCUCACGACAUUCUUGACAUAAAAGAUGGUAAUACUCCAAGGUAAGGAAGAACAAUUGCUGUAUAGCAUGGAUCUCAAGGUAUAACACGAAACACGAACAAGUUUGUGUUGAACGGAAGGCAAUAAAGUGGUUGAUGAUAAUACAAAUCAUCGAGGGCAAGGAUGGUAUUUCUCUUCAUGAAUUCAAUUGAUAUCCUGGAAGAGCUCAAAAUGUUGAUGAUGAUCACGACACAAUUGUCGAGAGAUUUCACGAAGAAGCAAUCAAACAGCGAUGACAUCAAGAAAAAAAACAAUGGUGAAGCGAAGGGUCAUCGGAACCACUGAUACGACACACACUUGGAAUCAAGCUUGAUGUUUAAGGCGGAAUGAUAAGACGAGGAAGAUCGACGUAAGCUUGGCUCAUCGUCAAAAGUUGUGCUCCGGGAAUAAGGACUAGGUAGCACAAUUAAAAUUUAGCAUGAUAAUGAUAUAGCCGAUUAGGAUUGGGAUGACUUGAAGGAUUAUUAAACUCGUAAGCAAUGAAAAUUACUUAGAGUUAUUGAAUCAGAUUGCGGAAUCGGUUCACUUACCGGUGUUCUUGAGCGACUAACUCAGAACCCAUGAAAAAUUGGAAUCAGUGAGAAAUAAUAGCUGAUGGAGACUCAUAAGAUGCAACACAGUUCUUAGAUAUUCUCGAGAUACCAGAGGGUAAAACUCGACGGUAGAUCAAGGUAGAGGUUGGACUGGUGUAUUGACUUGCAAAAGACAAGUGUUUUAACUUGUCCGAGAAAUGGGAUCAACGAGAAAAUAUGGCCGGAACCACGAUUGCAUAGGAUCAGUUCAUAGAUACCAGAUGAUAUUAUAUCAACGAAAUAGUUAUUAUUACAAGAAGCUUCUAUGGUAGGAUCUACAUCGUGUCCAUGGGCAUGAACACAAAGUUCAAGGUCGACUCCUACUUCUUCAAUGUAUAACCUUCCAUUCACCUCUCACUUUCGAAGAAGUUGUGGUGUUGAAAUUUUAUCUAGAAAAACAGCAGAAGAGUAUGACUCGUGAAAACUUUCGAGUUCACACAUAUUAGGCAUAGGUUCAACCCGUCAGGGUAUCGUGGAAACAUAUACCACAAGCUUCAAUAGUAAAUAACACAAGCUCGAUAGUAGAGCAUGGUUGACAAAAACAGAGGAUACAAUUUACCUAAGGCAUUAGGUAUCAGGGAAAGAACUUCUCGAGGUUUUUGUAUACGAAGGACGAUGUCGGAUGAUAUUUCAACAAAUGAUCCGACGGUCCAUAGUGGAGCUGAUGUGAGCAUCGGCACACAACCAGAGGAAGAAACAAUGCGAAGGCAUUAGAUUAUAGAACCAAAUGACUAAUUCAAAGUUUAAUUGCCAUGGAAUUAUGAUUUCCAAAUCAAGGGAUCAGAAGCAAACGCUCUAAUUUAGGAUGGAUAAGCUGAGCCGGCUUAGGGGUACAAUCGACGGCAAUUUGAUUGGUCGAGAACUAGCUCCAGUUAAAAAUGACGGCUGAGCCGGAAAGAUAAUUUAUAAGGAUCAACUGAUGAUUGCGGACAUUCGCAACAUAUUGAAUCAAGGAACUCAAAAUGAUAAUGACAAAGGAUGACAAUUAGAUUACCAGACUUAUGGUAAACCAUAUUGCAAGCAAGAAUUUGAAGAGCAAUAGGCUGUUGGGGAUUUUCGGAAAAUCGAAUGGCAUUUCAAAAACAUUUGUGAAAUACAGGAAUCAACUGUGGAUGAACGGAUACUCGAUAAGUGUGAGGAAUUAUCCGUAGGGGUAUUCAAAUGGUGAAGAACUGCAAGGCAGUAAACUCAGAGAAUUCUCGGGACAACAGAGAGUAUUUCGGGGCAUCUUGUAAUAACAAGAUCAACGGGGAAUGAUUGUAUGAAUGGCAAGUGUAUGCAGUUUUCAUAGGGGUUGACGGUGGAAGGAAAUCGCAAAUGCGAUGGCACAAAGACUCGAGAGCACAUCGUAGAGUAUCUUCGGAAUCUUCUGGUGCAGCAGGCGGUUAUCGGUAACAAGGGGCUCUCCGGGUGGAAGUGAUCAUGGGAUCCUAAUGUUCGAGUUAGCAAAAUUCAUUUAACCCGAAUAGAAGAGAGAUUAGAGUCCCAGAGUAUAGACAAGGAGUAAAAGAUCCUAAUACCACCCAAUGGCGACGUGGGCCCAUAAGGCACACAACCAUGUUAGUAAAAACAAUUUUCAUCGACUAGACUCGACUUCGGCCAAGGAGUGUGGAAGGGGGAUUCCUACAGGCAGUCGGCUCUGAUACCAACUUGUGACGCCCCCGAUUCAAUCGUACACUAAUCAUACACGCAAACGUGUACGAUCAAGAUCAGGGACUCACGGGAAGAUAUCACAACACAACUCUAAAAAUAAAAUAAGUCAUACAAGCAUCAUAAUACAAGCCAGGGGCCUCGAGGGCUCGAAUGCAAGUGCUCGAUCAUAGAUGAGUCAGCGGAAGCAACAAUAUCUGAGUACAAACAUAAGUAAACAAGUUGCCAUAAGAUGGCUAGCACAAACUGGGAUACAGAUCGAAAGAGGCGCAUGCCUCCUGCCUAGGAUCCUCCUAAACUACUCCCGGUCGCCGUCAGCGGCCUGCACGUAGUAGUAGGCACCUCCGGUGUAGUAGGAGUCGUCGUCGAUGGUGGCGUCUGGCUCCUGGGCUCCAGCAUCUGGUUGCGACAACCAGGUAGAAGGGAAAGGGGGAAAAGAGGGAGAAAAGCAACCGUGAGUACUCAUCCAAAGUACUCGCAAGCAAGGAUCUACACUACAUAUGCAUGGGUAUAUGUGUAAAGGGGCCAUAUCGGUGGACUGGACUGCAGAAUGCCGGAAUAAGAGGGGGAUAGCUAGUCCUGUCGAAGACUACUCUUCUGGCAGCCUCCAUCUUGCAGCAUGUAUAAGAGAGUAGAUGGUAAGUUCACCAAGUAUCAUCGUAUAGCAUAAUCCUACCCGGCGAUCCCCUCCUCGUCGCCCUGUUAGAGAGCGAUCACCGGGUUAUAUCUGGCACUUGGAAGGGUGUGUUUUAUUAAGUAUCCAGUUCUAGUUGUCAUAAGGUCAAGGUACAACUCCAAGUCGUCCUGUUACCGAAGAUCACGGCUAUUCGAAUAGAUAAACUUCCCUGCAGGGGUGCACCACAUAACCCAACACGCUCGAUCCCAUUUGGCCGGACACACUUUCCUGGGUCAUGCCCGGCCUCGGAAGAUCAACAUGUCGCAGCCCCACCUAGGCACAACAGAGAGGUCAGCACGCCGGUCUAAAUCCUAUGGCGCAGGGGUCUGGGCCCAUCGCCCAUUGCACACCUGCACGUUGCGAGGGCGGCCGGAAGCAGACUUAGCCUAGCAGGCGUUCCAGUCUAAUCCGGCGCGCGCCGCUCAGUCGCUGACGUCACGAAGGCUUCGGCUGAUACCACGAGUCGAGUGCCCAUAACUGUUCCCGCGUAGUUGGUUAGUGCGUAUAGACCAAAUGGCCAGACUCAGAUCAAAUACCAAGAACUCGUUAAGCGUGUUAUUUUGAAGUAACCACGGACGCCGACCAGGGCCAGGCCCACCUCUCUCCUAGGUGGUCUCAACCUGCCCUGUCGCUCCGCCACAAAGUAACAGUCGGGGGCCGUCGGGAACCCAGGCCCACCUCUACCAGGAUGGAGCCACCUGCCCCUUCAGCCCCCAUCUCCGAACAGUAUCAUAAGUAAUAAUGUAACAGUAUAAAGUAUAUAGCAUAUGCCCGUGAUCACCUCCUGAAGUGAUCACGGCCCAGUAGUAUAGCAUGGCAGACGGACAAGAGUGUGGGGCCACUGAUGGAAUACUAGCAUCCUAUACUAAGCAUUUAGGAUUGCAGGUAAGGGUAACAACUGUAGCAACAAUGACAGGCUAUGCAGCAGAAUAGGAUUAACGGAAAGCAGUAACAUGCUACACUACUCUAAUGCAAGCAGUAUAGAGAAGAAUAGGCGAUAUCUGGUGAUCACGGGGGGCUUGCCUGGUUGCUCUGGCAAGAAGGAGGGGUCGUCAACACCAUAGUCGUACUGGGUAGCAGCGGCGUCGGUCUCGGGGUCUACCGGAGAAGAAGAGGGGGAAGAAACAGUAAAUACGGAGCAAACAAAGCAUCACAAAACAUAACGAGGCAAUACGCGGUGCUAGGUAUGCCCUAACGUGGUACUAGGCGAUGCCGGCGAAGGGGGGAAACAUCCGGGAAAGUAUUCCCGGUGUUUCACGUUUUUGGACAGAUGAACCGGAGGGGGAAAGUUGCGAGUUUGCUAUGCUAGGGAUAUGUGACAGACGAAACGGGCUGCGUAUCCGGAUUCGUGUCGUCGUUCUGAGCAACUUUCAUGUACACAGUUUUUUCAUCCGAGCUACGGAUUAUUUUAUAUGUUUUUUCAAAGUUUCUAAAAGUUUUUCUAAUUUCUGGAUUUAGUUUAAUUCGAAAUUAAGUUAGUAUUUAAAUGCUAUGGGUACACAUAAAGUGUACCCAGAAGUGUGCACAUGAGGCUGACAGGUGGGGACAGUUGACUAAGUCAACUGCCCAGUCAGUAGAAGCUGACAGGUGGGGCAGGGGGUGCUGACUCAGCGGUCAAUAGGUCAACAUUGACCAGUCAAACUGGCAGGUGGGGACCACCUAUCAGUGACACAUGUAUUUAGCAGGUAUUUAUUUUAAAUUUUCUCUAAUUAGUUGCCCGGGCCCACAUGUCAUACUCCAGUUUAUUAAUACGUUUGUUUUGAAAGUAGGGUUAGUUUAGCGGGUGGGCCCCUGACGCCAGUGAAUGUUUAAGGCAGAUUAGUGACUAACGACAGCCACGUCACCGGAUUAGCGCCGGCGACGAGCUACAGAACGGUAGCGGCAUAGGAGCUCGCUGGAAAUGGCGUACGGGGAGCCGUUCACGGCGCGGAUGGUUCCAUUCGAACACCUACGCGACGGCGUAUCGCGUGGUGGUAGUGGCACAGCCAGGGGUGGUCGGUGUCGACCGAUACGACGGCGGCCGGCGGCAACAGAAGGCGGGCGAGACAGGAAGCAGCGGGCCAAGGUACGCGCGCGUGAGCGAGGCCCGACAUGGCUGAGUGCAUGCGCGCGAGGCAGGACGCGGGGUGGUGGCCGGGCGCGGAUGCGGAGCAGCAGCGGUCAGUGCGGGAGCGAGGCAAGUGGUGCUGCCGUGCGGCGUGGCAUGGCCAGGGAAUGCGGGCGCGGGACGCGGUCUUCACGGGGGCGAGGUAGCGGAGAGGGGAUGAGGAGGCCGAGGGCCUCACCGCGGGCCGUAGGGGAAUGGCAGCGAUUGUCGGGAAGGAAGACUGGGACGACGGGCGACGGGACGGCGCCUGUGCGGUGGCUCCGAAGACGGCGAGCGGUGAUGGGGCACAGCGUGGCUCGGGGAGGCCGUCGGGGAGGAGGUCGAGGAGGUCCGGCGUGGGGAGGAGACGGGGAGGCGACGGCGGAGACGAGCGACGCCGGCGACGGGGCGUCAAGGCGAUGGGGGAGUCCGGCGACGGGGUCGGGGCACUGGCGUCGUGGGAGGGUCUGAGCGGGUUCGUCACCGAUCCAGAUCGGAUCGGUAGGGGGAGAGGAGANNNNNNNNNNNNNNNNNNNNNNNNNNNNNNNNNNNNNNNNNNNNNNNNNNNNNNNNNNNNNNNNNNNNNNNNNNNNNNNNNNNNNNNNNNNNNNNNNNNNNNNNNNNNNNNNNNNNNNNNNNNNNNNNNNNNNNNNNNNNNNNNNNNNNNNNNNNNNNNNNNNNNNNNNNNNNNNNNNNNNNNNNNNNNNNNNNNNNNNNNNNNNNNNNNNNNNNNNGUGGGGAGUGGGGGGGAGUGUGCGGUCGUGGGGGGGUUAGGGUUUUCCCCUGGUGGGGAUAGGGAGGGGGGUUGGGCCGGUUGGUGGGCUGGCCGGCUGGGCCGUCUGGCCCAGUUGGCCAGGGGGGUUCUUUUAUUUUGUUUUUGCUUUCUGUUUUGUUCCUUUUCCUUUUAUUUAUAUUAACUUUUCUGUUAUAGUUUUGUUUCCUAUUAUUUUAGUUUUAGUAAAAUAUAUACUUAGUAUCUAAAUAGUAUUUCAACUUAGUCCAUAGUCAAAAAAGUCUAGUCCUCAAAUAAAUUAGUUUGACAUUUUACUAAUUAUAAAAGGUAUUUAAAUAUUUGUUUUGUUGUUGUUUUAUUCAUCUCAUAGUACUUAAAUAUUUUAUAAAGGUGUGGUUUCUCCACCAUAAUUAUCUAUGUAAUAUUUGGUUCACUCCGAACAUUUUAGUUUUAAUUUUUGAAAACCUUUACUGUUGACUUGAUUUUUGAAUUUGAAUUUGAAUCGAUGCCGAAUCAACGCGGGUUUAUCAACAGUAACUGAGGUGACGUGGCAUCAUUAGCAUGGGAUUACUGUAGCUUAAUUAUCCGGGCAUCACAAAGCAAUUCACGAAUAAUUUGUAUAAGGAAGAGAACUUUCACAUGCACAUACACUAUCCUGGAAAUCUUUUGUGAUUGUGAGCCCCCAUCAAAAUAUUAUAUGCCAAAAUUGUUGACGUUGGACAAGGAAGACAACAUAAUGAUUUAUGUUUGCUCAUAUUCACAUAGAAGUCAUAUUGUCAUAGAUCCUUCAACAUUUGGUGUUUGCCCCCCAUCUUUGCUAGCCAAAAAUUCCGCACCAAGUAGAGAUACUACUUGUGCAUCCAAAAACCCUUAAACCCAAAUCUUAUUUUCAAGAGUCCACCAUACCUACCUAUAUGCAGUAUUUCCGUGCCGUUCUAAGCAAAUUUGUAUGUGCCAUCUCUAAUUUACAAAAAAUAAAUUUCUCUUUUGUGUGCUCGUACCGCUCGCGAGGCGGUGAGGGGUGGCCAAUAUUAUCCAUGCUAGACGUGUUAUUCUUACGAUGAGUGUUUAUUCACUUGUCAUUGCACGAGAGUAAGGUAAAGGUUUUAGGGAUGCCCAGUCCCGAAAUUAAAAAUGAAUUUACUUUAUGUUGUCAAAUAACAAAUUCCUUGGAAAGUGUUGGUAUGGAGGGCACCCGUGGAUACGGCUAGCCAUGGAAAGUGAAAGUAUGGUGAAAAAAGGAAUACACUUUAUUUUCUGUUUGGGAACCGCCUAUGACAUAUCUAGCAUGGAAAUUGUUGGGAGCUCUAAGUCGCUUUCGUUGGUGGGAAAAGUAUACCUCUCAAAAUGUUUUUAUCUCUCAAUUUUUGCUUUGAGCUCUGGCACCUCUACAGAUCCCUACUUCCCCCUGCGAAGGGCCUAUCUUUUACUUUUAUGUAUUUACUUUCAUGCAAGAGUCAAAGUUAUUCUCUCUAUUCCUUUUUAUUUUUCUCUUUGGGCAAGCAUCAUGUGCUGAGGAAAGAUCUAGGCACACAUGUCCGGUUGAAUAUGGGUAGCAUGAGUUAUUAUUGUUGACAUCACCCUUGAGGUGAAUACGUUGGGAGGCAAAACAAUAAGCCCCUAUCUUUCUAUGUGUCCGGUUGAAACGUUUUGCUCAUGUGUAUGCGGUGAGUGUUAGCAAUCAUAGAAGACUAUAUGAUGGUUGAGUAUGUGGAGCUCUAACUUAAACUCUGUUGAAUAAGUUGAAUUGCAAUUGCUUGGUGACUGUGAACAUAGGUUGUUGGGUUUCAAGAGAGUUCAUUGUUUAAACCUUAACAUGUGAAUUGGUUGCCACUACAACAUGAGAAAUUUUAUGAGAAAUAAUUACUGUUAUGAUGCUAGGAAAAGUGAGUGAAAUUAUUAUUGAUUAAACUUAUGCACUUUGCUAGCAUUCACACUUCAUAAAUUAUUUGUUUUAUCAUUUACCUUCUCGAGCACGAGCAGGAAUUAAGCCUUGGGAUGCUGAUACGUCUCCAACGUAUCUAUAAUUUAUGAAGUAUUCAUGCUAUUAUUUUAUCAUUCUUGGAUCUUUUACAAUCAUUUUAUAGCAACUUUAUAUCAUUUUUUGGGACUAACCUAUUGUCCCAGUGCCCAGUGCCAGUUGCUGUUUUUUGCUUGUUUUUUACAUCGCAGGAAAUCAAUAUCAAACGGAGUCCAAACACCGCGAAACUUUUUAGAGAUUUUUUUGGGCCAGAAGACAUCCAUUGGGCCAAAGAAGCACCUCGAGGGUGCCCCGAGGGGGGCACAACCCACCAGGGCGCGCCAGGACCCCUGGCACGCCCAGGUGGGUUGUGCCCACCUCGGUGGUCUCCCGCACCCCUUCUUUGUAGUAUAAAUUCCCAAAUAUUCCAAAACCCAUCGGGGUUACCCUAGAUCAGAAGUUCCGCCGCCGCAAGGUCUCUGUAUCCGCGAAAACCAAUCUAGACCCCGUUCCGGCACCCUACCGGAGGGGGAAUAAUCUCCGGUGGCCAUCUUCAUCAUCCAGGCGGCCACCACGAUGAGGAGGGAGUAGUCCACCCUCGGGGCUGAGGGUUUGUACCAGUAGCUAUGUGUUUAAUCUCUCUAUCUCUCUCGUGAUCUAUAUCAUGGGCUUUGUUAAUAUAGUCGGAUCAUAUGAUGUUUCUACCCUCUAUACUCUUGUUAUGAUGAAUUGAAUCUUUACCCUUCAAAGUUUUGUCUUGUCGGUUUGAAUAUUCAGAGAUGAGAACACAUGAUAUAUGUCUUGCAAUAUGAAUACUUGAGGUGACAAUGGGGUAUCAUAUUUAUUCACUUGAUGUAUGUUAUGGCACUCAACUUGCAGAUUCCCGAGGUGACAUUGGGGUAAUCUAUGCAUAGGGGUUGAUGCACGUUUUUAUUAUCUUUUCUCCGAUAGAAACUUUGGGGUCUCUUUGUAGUUCUUUGUGUGGAUGGAGUAUUAUGAAUAUGAAUUUGCUUUGGCGUUAUUUUAGUAUGAACUCUUGAUUAGAUAGAUCGGAAAUAAUAGCUUGUGUUAUUUUAGUAUGAACUAUAGGAUAGAUUGAUCGGAAAGAAUAGCUUCGAGGUGGUUUCGUACCCUACAAACAAUUUCUAUCUUUUGUUCUCCGCUAAUAGGAACUCGGGAGUGAUUCUUUAUUGCACUUUGAGGGAUAAUCAUAUGAUCCAACUAUGUUAGCACUGUUGAGAGGUUGCACUAGUGAAAGUACGGACCCUAGGCCUCGUUUUCAAGCAUUGCAAUACCCUUUUUGUGCCCGUUUACUAUUUGCUACCUUGCUGUUUUUAUUUAUUCAGAUUAUAAAAAUAUAUUUCUACCAUCAAUAUUACACUUUGAUCACCAUCUCUUCGCCGAACUAGUGCACCUAUACAAUUUACCAUUGUAUUGGGUGUGUUGGGGACGCAAGAGAUUUUUUAUAUUUGGUUGUAGGGUCGUUUGAGAGAGACCAUCUUCAUCCUACGCCUCCCACGGAUUGAUAAACCUUAGGCCAUCAACUUGAGGGAAAAUUGCUACUGUCCAACAAAACUCUGCGCUUGGAGGCCCAACACGUGUCUAAUAGAAUAAAGUUGCGUAGUAGACAUCAAUGAGCAGUUAGCCGCAAUAAAUAUUUUUCAUAACACUCCUUGGUAUGCUGAUUAUGCUAAUUAUAUUGUUGCUAUUUACCACCUAGCUUUACAUACCAACAAAAGAAAAAAAUGUUUUAUUAUUUAAGACAUUACUUUUGGGAUGACCCACAUCUUUAUAAAGAAGGAGUAGAUGGUAUUAUUAGACGAUGUGUAGCUGAGCAUGAACAGGGACAAAUCCUACGGAAAUGUCACUCCGAAGCUUGUGGAGGGCAUCAUGCUGGAUAUAGAACUACUCAUAAGGUAUUGCAAUCUGGAUUUUAUUGGCCCACUCUCUUCAAGGAUGCCCGUAAGUUUGUCUUAUCUUGUGAUGAAUGUCAAAGAAUAGGUAAUAUGAGUAAGCGUCAAGAAAUGCCUAUGAAUUAUUCACUUGUUGUUGAACCAUUUGAUGUUUGGGGAUUUGAAUACAAUGGGACCUUUUCCUUCCUCUAAUGGGUAUACACAUAUUUUGGUUGAUGUUGAUUAUGUUACUAAGUGGGUAGAAGCUAUCCCAACCAGUAGUGCUGAUCACAAAACCUCUAUUAAAAUGCUUAAGGAAGUUGUUUUCCCAAGGUUUGGAGUCCCUAGAUAUUUAAUGACUGAUGGUGGUUUACACUUUAUUCAUGGCGCUUUACGCAAAAUGCUUGCCAAGUAUGAUGUUAACCAUAGAAUUGCAUCACCUUAUCAUCCUUAGUCUAGUGGUCAAGUUGAACUUAGCAAUAGAGAAAUAAAUUUAAUUUUACAAAAGACUGUCAAUAGGUCUAGGAAGAAUUGGUCUAAGCAAUUAGAUGAUGCACUUUGGGCUUAUAGCACAACAUAUAAAAAUCCUAUGGGUAUGUCUCCUUAUAAAAUGGUUUAUGGAAAAGCUUGUCAUUUGCCUCUUGAGUUAGAACAUAAAGCAUAUUGGGCAAUCAAAGAACUCAACUAUGAUUUCAAACUUGCCGGUGAAAAGAGGUUAUUUGAUAUUAGCUCAUUAGAUGAAUGGAGAACCCAAGCUUAUGAAAAUGCCAAGUUAUUCAAAGAGAAAGUUAAAAGAUGGCAUGAUAAAAGAAUCCAAAAGCGUGAGUUUAAAGUUGGAGAAUUUGUUCUUUUGUACAACUCUCGUUUCAGAUUUUUUGCAGGAAAACUCCUCUCUAAAUGGGAAGGACCCUAUGUUAUCGAGGAGGUUUAUCGGUCUGGAACUAUCACAAUAAAUAAUGCCGAAGGUACUAACCUAAAGGUUGUCAAUGGGAAGCAAAUAAAACAUUAUAUCUCAGGUACGCCCAUUAAUGUUGAAAGUAAUAUUAUCCAAACAAUGUUACCGGAGGAACACAUAAAAGAGUCCUUCCAGAACACUCCAGAAUCAUGAAAAUAAGGAGGUACGUGAUACGGUACAUAAACGGACUCCAAAAAAUUCGCAAAAUAAUUUUUGUCAGUUUUGGAAUAUUUAGAAAAUUUGGAAAAUAAGAAACACUGGGAAAGUGACCUUGGUGGGCACAAGACACCAUGGCGCGCCUGGCUGCCAGGCGUGCCCAGGUGGGUUGUGCCCACCUGGGGCACCUUACGGACUCUGUUUUUCUCUUGUUUGCUUGUUUCCCAAGAUAAAAAUCUUUAUAUACCCCUAGAACCUAUUGACCAUCGUAUCGUGGAGAAAUCUUCUAUCUUCUUUUCUUGCUGUUUCUCUGAUAGAUCUGAAAAUAUGUCAUCACAAGACUUUGAGGGAGAGAGCUAUGUUGCCGAUUUCAUUGCAAACCCCAAGUAUUAUGGGGAUGUGGGGCACUAUUGCUGGACCUCCGAAGAGGAUGAAAAUGAACCAGUUCCUCCCUAUUUCAAAAACGAAAGCAUGGAGGCAUUAUGCAAGAGGAUAAUAAAGCUCGAGAUGGAGAACGAUGAGUUGAGAGUAGAUAACUUUAUCCUUUGGAGUAAGCUAGAGGAAAAGAAGGGAAAACCCUCUACUUCUUCAUCACCACCACCUCCUUCUUCAUCACCAAAAGAAAAUUGAGUAUCGGGUAUGGGCACUCCCCUUGGCUUCCAUCAAGCUUGGGGGAGGUGCCCCGGUAUCGUAUCAUCCCCACUAUCUUUUGUCUUUACUUAUUUUAGUUUGAUCUUUUGCUUUAGAUGAAUAAAAGUUUAGUUCGAUCCUUUCUUUUCGAGAGCUUGCUUAAUGAUCUAUCCUUGUAAUUGUGUGCAAGAUAUAUAAUACAGUUUAGUUUGAGUUUUUGCUUUCUUUACUUUCAUGUUGCAAUAAAAAGAAAGGAAAUAAAUGAAAAGAUCAUAUGCUAAUCUUAUGAUAGGUGAUGAUACCACAUAAGGAAAAGUGUAAGUAGGAAAUUUUAUUAGAGAUUGACAAACAUAGCAUUGGUCAAUGAUGCAACUCAUGAAAGAAUUAAAAAGGAAAGAGAAGAUUCACAUAUAAAUACACUAUCCUAAAAAUCUUUUGUGAUUGUGACCCCCCAUCAAAAUAUUAUAUGCCAAAAUUUUUGACGUUGGACAAGGAAGACAACAUAAUGAUUUAUGUUUGUUCUUAUUCACAUAGAAGUUAUAUUGUCAUAGAUCCUUCAAUAUGUGGUGCUUGCCCCUAUCUUUGCUAGCCAAAAAUUCCGCACUAAGUAGAGAUACUACUUGUGCAUCCAAAAACCCAUAAACCCAAAUCUUAUUUUCAAGAGUCCACCAUACCUACCUAGGGAUUGAGCAAGAUCCCUCAAGUAAGUUUUCAUCAGUGCAAUAAGGCAAUAAAAAUUGCUUCUAAAAGUGUGAGAUCAUUUAGUGUAAGAGAAAAUUGAGCGUUGUACGAACUUGUGAUGGUGAAGAAUAAAAGCGACAGACUGCAUAACAAAGGUUGCUAUCACAAGGGGCAAUACAACAUGACGUUCUUUUGCACUAAGGCGUUGAGCAUACAAACAAAUAAGCGCUUGGCAACCUCUUCUUCCCUAUGCGAAGGGCCUAUCUUUUACUUUUAUGUAUUUACUUUUAUGCAAGAGUCAAAGUUUUCCUCUCUAUUCCUUUUAUUUUUCUCCUUUGGCAAGCAUCAUGUGGUGAGGAAAGAUCUAGGCACAUAUGUCCAGUUGAAUAUGGGUGGCAUGAGUUAUUAUUUUUGACAUCACCCUUGAGGUGAAUAUGUUGGGAGGCGAAACUAUAAGCCCCUAUUUUUCUAUGUGUCCGAUUGAAACGUUUUGCUCAUGUGUAUGCAGUGAGUGUCCGGUUGAAACUAUAUGAUGGUUGAUUAUGUGGACUUGCCUAAAGGCUCCGAUACAUGACCCUUCUUGAAAAGGUAAUGAAUUGUAGUUGCAAAGCUGACUGAAAACAUAGUUUGUUGGUUUCUAUGCUUUAUACUUCAAUUGUGUGAUGAACUGUUACUUAUUCAUGAGAAGUUUAUGACAAAAGCUCUAUGAUAAAAGUCUUAUGUUCAAAUUUGUUGCUGUUGUAAUAAUCUACAUGAUGCUUCUAUGUCCUUAUUUUAUUUUUAACGACACCUCUCUCUCUCUCUCUCUCUAAGCAUGUGGACAUGUUUUUCGAUUUUGGUUUUUGCUUGAGGACAAGCGAGGUCUAAGCUUGGGGGAGUUGAUACGUCCAUUUCGCAUCAUGUUUUCCUAUUGUUAUUUAUGAUGUUUUUAUGCAUAAUAAUGCUUUUUGGAGUAAUUCUAAUGCCUUUUCUCUCAUAAUAUGCAAGUACAAAAAAGGGAGAAUUCCGGCAGCUGGAUAUCGGGACCUGGAAAAGCUACGACAGGCCACCUAUUCUGCACAACUCCAAACAAGCUGAAACUUCACGGAGAUUUUUAUGGAAUAUUUGAAGAAUAUUGGAGCAAAUAAGUACCAGAGGGGGCCCACCAGGUGGGCACAACCCACCUUGGCGUGCCAGGGAGCCCUGGCGCGCCCUGGUGGGUUGUGCUCACCCAGGCCCACCUCCGAUGCCCAUCUUCUAGUAUAUAAGUCAUUUUGACCUAGAAAAAAAAA
rnacentral:lncRNA from 1 species